CUUUUUUUUUUGUUUAAGAAAGUACAAAUCUGUACCUUUUCCCUUAUCUCCCUCUUUAUUAUUUUUUAUAAUUAUAUAAUGCGAGUUCCGAUCUGGAUCAACGAAAUGGGUUCUUUGAUCGGAUCCAACAAAAUCUGAGUCGUUGAUUCAUUAACAUUAGAUAUAAUGAUUGAGAUGUAAGGGGGCAAAAUGGGAAUUCAUCACUCUCUCUUGCCUAGAUCUCUGCCACCGCCGGCCGCCAUACAGAUGGUACGAAGUCAUCGGACCUCUACCGUGCUGCCGAACUCCAUACAAGACUUUUAUACACUUUGUAUGGUUGCUUUGUACGUGUAAUACAGUAGAGUGUAUAUACAAGCUAAGUGUGUAUUUACUCAACAUCUACCACAUGGAACAAUCUCCUCUGGACCUCCGAUCUUAGUUUGGAGUUUAGAUAGUAAUGUUGGUUUCACUCUUAACAGCUUCAUGAGAGUCCUUAUACACAAGAAAUUUGUUUUUGGCAACGUGACAUCUCCAACUCAUCUAAUUUGGUUGGCAGCGUAUAGUCAGUAUACUAAUGAAGUUUGGACGGAAAAUUUAACAGAAGAGGUCAUUUGAAAAAAUCGUUAUAAUAAAGGGGUGCGAAUGUGUAUUAAUCAUAGGUGAAUUGAAAGGUGUAGAUUUCUCCUUGAUAUCCUAAAAUGCUUUGAUGUUGUUGACUGGAAUACUGACUCAAAUAAACAAUUAAGAAUGGUAUAGUUAAGUCCACUUAGCUUAGUGAUCCCUAUGAUACUUAAAAAAAAGACUAAUAAUGAAUGUAAUUAAAAAUCCAGAGUCAGUUGCCAAUACGUCUCUUGUCAUUUUGUUUUGAAGUGCUCUCACAUGGUACUGUCUUUCUGCAACUUUAUUAAUACGUUGGUAAACAGAUCAAACACUUUAAAAUACUGCUGAUCAUAUUUUCAGUUAAAAAAUUAGAGAGGACUAAGUCUUGGUUAAUGUUUUUGAUGCAGUUUUAAUUACUAUUACUUAAAUGGCUAGGAGGAGCCUAUCUUUUUUUUUUUAAAGACUCCAAACUGGGAAUUGUUCUGGGUUAACAAAUGAGACCAAUUUGUUAGUUAUUUGUCGUUAAGACGUCUCUUUUAAAAUAUGGUUUGUUUUGUUUGGACGAUGUGCAUGUAGUUUUUUUAAUGGAUAGAUUUUUUACGGAGAUAAGAAGAUAGUAUAUAAAAAAAUAAAAAGUCUUAAUCAACCCAUAUAGUGAGGACUAACAGAUAGUGAGGACUACCGGCAAUAUUCUGGAGAAAUAUCUAAGGGUCAUGCGAACCACGCAAUGGGCGACCCCAAUACCUGACUUCUGGAAUGUCUGUAGAAGGUUCUUUGAUAGGGAAAUAACGAUUUGACUCUUGAAAGAUAGAGUUUUUAGGUUGCCAAGCUUGAAUGAUCGACGUUGAUGAAGAUCGUCAUUGCCACUGUGCAAUAAUGAUCAAUAACUAUCCUUUUAAAUAGUUACGGUAGCUCUUUGUGCGUCCAUUGAUUAAUUCAUGAUAAGAAUCAUAAAUACAAAAUUUACAAAGUAAGACGAUUAAUAAGAAAAAUGAAAGAUAGAAGAGCAUGCAAGAUUAGAAGCAUACAAUCUUACUAUAUAUUAAAGCUAUUGGAAAAACUACAAUUGUCAUGUAAGCAUUUCCUUAAAAUCCAUCCAUACACGUCAGAUAGUAUAAUACGGCAAUGUUUCUUAUGAAAAAAUGAAAAUUUGGACGUUUGAACGUCUCCCUUGACUCUAUCAUAUUUCCAAAUCCUUUGUACAAUUGCACUCCUUUAAUUUGUACUUAAAUGACGCAAUGUAUAUAAUGUAUAUAAUGUAUACCCAUGGAGUGGAUAUUAUCAAAUCUGUCCCUAUCAGUUACCUGUUUUAAACGAGUAUCAGGUUUGUUUUUGCUCGUUAAUUUUUCAUAUCGACUGGGUUUUAUUCACCCAAAUUGGACGGGUUUUGGGUGGGCAUCAGUUUUUGAAUUACAAUUGCCAAACCUUCCUUAUACAGUUAGCACUUCGAAAAAUUUCUAUUUUUGCUAUUAACCACGACCAAAUAUAUCAUAAUUAAUCAACCCAAAAUUAUCCGGACUAACCAAAUUGGCUUUGACAAUGGGUCAGUUGUGAGUGGGUAGGAUUAGAAUCAUUAGCCGAUCAAAUAUUUCUCAAACUCUAGCCACAUUGUCUUCGACUGAAUCUAACAGGAGGGGGGAAUCCUCGUACGCAUCUUUUGUCCACAUGCAUGACGCGCAUAAUGGAAGACAAGAUCGUACACACGGUCAUUACACGGUUACUACACGUGAACCGAAGCCGCUCCAACUCGAGCCUAUACAGUUGGAUUAAAGCCUUUCUUUUCUCCGGAAAAGGUGUUUGACCGUUACAUUUAAGGUUUGGAAUCGGGUCAAGUUUGAUAGGGUUUAGCCCAGCUUGGUCAAACCUGAUUUGACUGACGUUGCAUAAUCAUUGUAGAUACAUUCCUAGUUAGAGUGGAUUUAAAUCUAAACAAUCUUCCAUUUGAAUUUUAAUUCAUAUUAUUUGUCAUCUACUUUUAUUUACUAUUGAUUAUUCGGUAUACAUACAUUCGUUAUCUGAUAAUAAAUAUUAUCAUUUCCAAACAUAUUUUUUAUUUUUUCUUCACAUCUCCGUUGAGUAAGAGAGUUAGAAAGAUUAUAGAGAAAAAGAAUCUCAGUAGAACUUUUUAUUUAAUUAUUACUUGAUUUAUACAUGUUAGUAAGUUGAGCUGAAAUUUAAACUCGUUCCUUACGUCUAAUCUCCAUUUUUUGGAAUAGACGCAUACAUAUCGUACAACUUGAGCACCUCCCGGAACAACACUUCUGGUAUGGGCACGAUCAUAUAAGUAACCCUUGCACAAAAUACGUUGACAUAUCCUUCCACACCUCCGUUAGAACUAGUAAUGAGAUAAGGUAAUUAGGAGCCUUAGUGACUUCAAGCUUUGAAACAUUGUUUUCUUCGCAUGUGUCACAACCUGAUAUAUAUAACCUCUUAUGCGUCGUCACAUUUCAGAUCAUGUAAAAAAGUAAUCCUGCACACGUUGACUAGUUGUAUUGAAUCUCUCAUGAGUUGCCCCAUGAACCUCUGGCUGCAGUUACAACAGGAAUCAAUGGAGUCGUUCAGGUAAAUUAAUUUCAGAAGAUAAUGGACUUGUUGAGUGAUAGGCCCAGAUAGGUCACAAAGUCCAACAUCAGAGCCCAACACAAGUAUAUCAAGUACAGAAAGCCGCGCGUCUGUUGGGCCGGGACGGAAAACCAAUCCAAGAUCUAAGCAAGUACUCCAAUCUAAUUAAUCCAAAAGAAUGAACGAGAUUAAUCAUGAAAGAAUAGUCCAUACGUUUGACCGUACGUUUAAUUUUACAUGGUUAGCAAAAUUAGUUCAUUGUGGGUUGAUUUUAUGUUUUGUGUCAGUCUUACUAAGCUAAAAUUUUCGGUAUUAAAAUAACACAUACUUUCGGAGAUUCGAAUAGAGAAGCAAAACAGUAUGAUGCAACAAAGAUAUAUGAAGAAACUCAUCGACAAACACCAUAUUUAGUAAUAUUAUCAAUACUAUAAAUUUUAGAGUUGUCGGUCGUCAAUUCAGGUAAACCGAUAAUUCUAUCACAGGACAACCUAAAUAAUUGCACAUUCAUAAACCACUAAAUUGGUAACCAACAUUGAUAUAUAACACCGAAAAAUCGAACCAAUCUCAUAAAAAUAAAUGUUAACAGAAAAAAGAUGUGGAUAGUAAAGUCUUACAUGGAAAAUGGGCAAGGGAGGAAGCUAGAGCCAAGGACAACUUCCCAGCCCAAUGGACGCAAAGCAUGGAAUUGUGGUUUGAGCGGCGGCAAGUCAUCCUUGGCUCAGACCUACUCCCCCAUCCCACCAUGAAAUCCAUUACCCCACUGAUCACUAGCUGUUAAUUAUAUAUGUGAUCUCCUCUUAAUUAGCUAAUUGGUUGGAAUGCAAUCUCUGCUUCUGUUAGCCCACUUCCAUUUAUAGCAGGAAAAAGGCAGUUGCAGCAGAGCAUAUAUUCUUAUUUCUUGCUUUUUCUUUUCAUCGAAUCUCAUAUCUAUACCCAGACCAAAUGCGUAGACUAGAUUUCAGAUGAUGUGGGGAGCAUGCAGAAUAUGUUCCAGUUUGAAAGGGAAAUGUGCGAUCUAAUCUAAUCCCCCCUUUUCUGUAUUUGUUUCCUUUUUCACUAGUAUUGAAAGAGUGGUCUAAAAUCCACGGUGCUUUCUUUCCCUUUUCUAGUUUUCUUUUUAUAUCCCCAUAAUAAUAAUAAUAAUAAUGUCAACGCCACGUUACACGCAUUGAUUCGUCCUCGGAAUAUUAUUAUCAAUCAAGAAGCGUAGAUUUCGUUUCGUUUGAGGGGUUGGUCUUUCAUUCCAUCUGCAUGCAUUUAUUUGUGUUGCAUACUUUAUAACCCGCCAGCCCAUACGUUCUAACUCUGGCCUUCUGAACAUUUGUUGGGCCCCCGACAAUUUAAUCAGAUAUCAUUAAUUAGGGUAAUCAGAUAUCAUUAAUAGCGAAUAUAAUUUGAGGUUUUGCCGUUGAGCCAUGCAACAUGAGCAACACAAACCCACCAAUGAGACAAUUAAUUAGAUUUAUAAAAUGUAUAGAAUUGAUAAACCUAAAGAGUAAUUAAGAUCAUCAUGCAAUCAAACUUCCUACAACUACGUACACCUCUGUCUCUCUAUCUCUAAUCUUCAACUGCUAAUAUAAUCUUCAGUAACAACUGAUGGAUGGAGUUGAAGCAUACUGUUUGUCCACAACCUCAAUCAGCUUGUUGGCUAUGGCGCUUGCAUACACUGAAGACCCUUCACAUAUCUGCAAGCAACCAACAGAAUUCUCAAUCGUUUUCCAGAAAUAACAAGCAACGGAUAUCAUUAGUUACUUGAUGGAACAAACAAACCUUGGUAUUGAAGAGGAAGCUGUAAUAGUCACCAACGUGCCCUCCAGCAACAUGGUGAAGAUCCAAAUGCAGCUCAUCAAGAACCUUGGAAACAAACAGCAAGCAAUUGAUCUUCUUCCUCUGAACCAAUUUGAUCGUCACCUCGUCUUCAAUAAUCCUCACAUCAAUCUCGGUAUCCUUGGACUUCCUCUGCAGCCAGGAGCUCCUCAGUGUCGACCCAUUACAGGAUUUGUCCAGCUGAUCCGUACCGUGUCCUCCACUGCCAUUUGAAUUCGCCGCUUUCAUCUCCGAACCCUCAUUCAUGGCGGCUCCUCCAUCAAUGUCGCCGUUCUGUUGAUGAUCAGUCUUGUUCCUCUUGCUCCUCCAUCUACUGCACCUCUUCUUCUCCACCAGCAAUUUCAGCUCCUCCACUGUCCCCAACAACUCCUUGAUGUACCCUAUCGCGUCUCCCACCACCGACGCCUUAUCGUUCUUUUCACGCAAAUUUUUUUGGGGACAAAUUAGGUCGUGAAAUUGGGAAAUCGAAAUUGAAAUACAGACAGAGAGAGAGAGAGUGAGAUGAAAUUGAACCUUGGUAGGAUUGGGGAUGAGGCUUCUGAGAGCGGAGAAUUUAUCGUUGACCUGUUGUCUCCUCUGCCGCUCGGUGGUCAAGGGUUUCGCCAUUCUUCCGGCAGCUCUUCCUUUGGCGAGACAAGCCAUGUCCCAAUUGAACUCCAGGACGCUACUGUCCAGCUGUUGAGACGACGAGCCGUCUCCGUCGGGGUAAAUCCCACCACCUCCUCCGCUGCUUCCUUCGCCGCCGUGGAUAUCAACGAGUCCUCCGCCUCCGAGCAGAGAAUUACCGCCGCCGUGGGAGGGGAGAUACUGGAAGAGCUCCCUGAACAGAGGCGGCUGAGGUGGGAGGUUGAGGUAGGAGAGCGGGUCGUAGUGUACGGAAGACGGCGACUGAGCUCCGUCAGAAAUCGGAAGGUCCCAGCUGCCGUAUCCUCCUCCUCCGCCGCCGCCGCCCAUGGGAGGUUUGGGGUUGUUGUUGUUGGCGAAUGAGAUUGAGGAAUUGGGAAGGAGAGAGGACAUAGGCAAGUUGAAGAGGUUGAGAUCGGGAGUGGAGGGAGGGUAAGGAGGCGGCAGUGGUGGAGGAUCGUUAAGCAUCAAAUUGAUGUUGUUGUUGUUGUUGUUGUCACCAUAACAACCCCCAGAGGCCAUUUCCCUGGCGGAGGCGGAAGAAGGGUCAUGAUCUUCAGGAUGAGGAUGGUUAAGGAGGUGGUGGUGGUGGUAAUUGGAAAGGUCAUCCAUGGUGUCGAGCUCCAAGGUGGUUUGGUUGUUUACAGAGGAGGCCGGCGGCGGGGGAGGAAGAGAGUGGUGGUCGACAUCGUCGGUGACGAAGCUAGUGUGAUCGAAGCAGCUCGCCGUUGCCUCCAUGUACAUAAUUUUCUCUGUUGGAUGAAAUUUGGAUGUGCAGACUGGAGAAAGGAGAAGAUGGCAGUGUCUCUAUGAUUUAUUUAUAUAAAGGAUGUGAUUCAUUUGGGAAAAUCGGAUUUAAUUUGUCCUUAAUGUUAAAGGCUUCCCAUCAAGUUCAAAAUUAGGAAACCACAAGCCAACUAUAAAUGUAUGGUAUUUUAAUUUAACGUGAAGAGCUGAAGAAAGGUUGUUACUGGGUGGUGGGGACCCUUUUUCUUGAGCUGUCGCUUUCCAUUUCUCACCAACUCGCUAAUUUUGCUUCUUUCUUUUUAUUCUCUCUGUAACCGUCUCCUCCCUCCUCAACUGAAUCAACAAUUCCAAGCCGCACAUAAUCAGUUUUUUAUUUUAUUUGGUGGAGAGCCAAUUUUAUCCGUCAGUUCGAACCAAAUUUAAGGCCGUUAGAUCAGACAUAAUAAAAUUUAAUGGUUCAAAUCAUUUAUUGGACUGUGCGCAUUUUUUACUAUAAACAACCGCAAAUUAAGUUGAGGGAAUGUUGGAGGGAAAAUAAAAUAAAAUUCGAGGGAAAUCAUCUUCUUUCUAUAAUUUUCUGUAACAUUAUCUUUCAUUCUUAAAUAUUCCCUAAUUUUAAUUUUAUCUUUAUCAUUCUUUAAAGAUUCAUCAAAAUAUAAUUCUGUUAUUUAUUUUAAUUUUUGAAUCUAAUAAAAUUUAUUUUGAUAUAUUUUAUUUAUUUUUUUCAUAAAAAAGUUCAAAAGUAUUAAUAUAGGUAUUAAGUACGGUUCAUGAGAUAUAAAAAAUUAGUGAUAAAUGAUGAUAAUGUUAUUUACCUCUUAUGNNNNNNNNNNNNNNNNNNNNNNNNNNNNNNNNNNNNNNNNNNNNNNNNNNNNNNNNNNNNNNNNNNNNNNNNNNNNNNNNNNNNNNNNNNNNNNNNNNNNNNNNNNNNNNNNNNNNNNNNNNNNNNNNNNNNNNNNNNNNNNNNNNNNNNNNNNNNNNNNNNNNNNNNNNNNNNNNNNNNNNNNNNNNNNNNNNNNNNNNNNNNNNNNNNNNNNNNNNNNNNNNNNNNNNNNNNNNNNNNNNNNNNNNNNNNNNNNNCUAAGACUAUGAUUAAUAAAAGAGGGAGAGUGUGAUAAAAAAUAAGAUAAAAUAGAAUUAAUUUCUUCUCUCACCAUUUUAGUUUUCCUCCCUAACCGUCUAACAAGAUUUAGUGCUUUGUUACAGUCCGAAAAAACCCACCUAACAUGCAAUAUAUUCCAAUCAUUAGAUUAAAAUUUUGACUAAUCUAACGGCUGACAAAUGUUCCACGUCAAAAGAUAAAAAGUGGUCUCAGCUGAAUAGAAAAUCCGGCACAUAACAUGAAAUAAAAAAAAUCUGGCUUCAUGGCUCCUCCAUAACCUGCCUGCAAACAUUCUUGAUAAAAAAGAAAACUCUGCAACCAUGUUGGGUUGAAAAGUUGAUAUGUUUAGCAUUAAUUAGUUCUUUAUAUAUGUACCUUCAGUAUUCAAUUACCAUAUCGGAUAUAGACUAUAUUAGGUUCGAGAAUAUAAUUUCGCGAUUACAUCUUUUUCAAACUUUCUUUUCGGGCGGAUGUUAAGAGUCGAAUUACAGUCUUCUCCUUAGUCAAUAGUCAUCCACACCAUCAUUUACCAAGCCAUCUUUUCACGGACCACAAGUAAACAGGUUUAUACAUUUGAACUACUAAUAGAAUGAGAUUUAUCUUUAUUGCAAUACAAGAUAAUAAGUGAAAAUAAACAUUACAACAAUAUUUUUAUUUAGAUAGAUAGAUGCUACCUGCUUACAAACCACAGGAUGGGAAUUACCCUUCAUUUUUACUUGCUUUUUUUGGUGAAUUUUAUUUAUACUUGCUCAAGUCUAUGCUUUGGUUUGGCGUAGCCGUAGAUGUGGACUGGACUGAACUCGUGCAUACACUGGACAGGAGUGAGAGGCCGACUAUUCUUGAAAUUGGGCCUAUAUAUUCCAGAUGCUGCAUGGGCACAUGGCCCAUGCUAUGGCCAAGUGAGUAUUUUUUAUGCCGGGCUUGGGGAAAUCAAAUUAUUGUUUGGAUGUUGCUACUUGCUACUAACUAGCAUCGUAGGUGUGACCGUGUAGAUAGUUAUUUUAUCGAUUGACCGUUAAAUAUUUAACACUGUGAUAGGAUUUUUUUUUAUAGAUAGCUUUUAAUAUAAAAAAUCAAAAUAGUAAACAUAAUAAAAAUUAGACAUCGAUUCAACAUGUGAAAUUGAUUUCCACACAGUUUAGGAAAAUGGGAGAUAUGAAAGAGCUUGCCGAGCCACAGAGUGGGCUGCCCCAUUAACAUAUCGUCGUACACAUGCAUCUGUAUUCAAGGACUAGCUGCCUGGUAGGCGAGAAUCUAUGAGAUGAUAGCAACGUCAGCCACGCACCGAGUAUACCUCUGGGAAAGUUGUGACUGCACCAGCUCUGCAUCACUUUCAAUGUUCACUUUCUAAUAGUCAUGUUAGAAUUACCACUGCACAUUUGUUUCUUCAAUCCGCAAGGAAAUUUUUUGCUAAAUUCAUUUUCAAAAAUGAAAAAAAACACAUGCAUCAUGUAUAGGCAGGAGCUCCAAAGCAUAGGGUAUCAAUGAGUUAUGGAUAUGUCCAUCUGAAAUUCUGUAAUAAAACCCCACUCGCAUCACGAAUCACCAAUCCUACCACCAACAUAAAACGAGAAAUAUUGCAUGCAUAUAUAUGAUUAUUAAACCGAGAAAGAUUUGUUACCAUCAAAUUUUUAUUAGGCCACCUGUUAGAAAUAUCAUCAAAUAUAGUAAAUUAGGUUGAGUUACAUUCAUAUAAAAAUGAACUAAUUUAAGCUACGUUCACAUAAAAUGUAUAGUUUUGAAAAAGAAAAAUUAUGAUAUCAUAUUUGAGAUGAAGGAGAAUGAACUAAAAAAAUUAUUCUCAAGUAAAAAAUAAUUAUAAAAAAUAUAAAUGUUAAGAAGAUAAACAUCAAUUAAAAGUAAAAAAAAAUAUUACACUAUUAAUUAAUUAUUUAUACAUUAAAAUAAAAUAAAAAGUCAAUAAGAUUAUUGAUCAUUUAAAUUAUAAAUGGUUUCCAUUAUCUCAUUCUAUAAAGUCUGGCCUGACACAGAACCAAAAUUUCAGAAACACUUUAUUUCAAAAUUGUACCGGACCGAUUAACUAUACCGUAACGACUAGGUGACCGAUACGCAAUAAAACUGGUUUAACCAGUUGGUCCUGUACGGUUUGCUUCAUCUUUCAAUCUAUUUCUUACAUAUAUUCACAUUAAUGCUUGAUAAGAAAACUAUUUCAUCUGAAUACAUUUUCGUCUAGUCGUCAUUUGUAAACAAAUGUUUGCGUACGUAGUCCUCCAGAACUCAAACCUCAUCAUCUGAAAUGAAAUUUCUUAUUUAUAGUUAAGUCUUAUGGUUUGGUGAGAUGGGCUUAUUUCCAAUGAAUCAAACCACAAGAAAGAUUCGAUCACUAAUUACGAAUGGACCGACUAAGCACAUAUUCAAGUAUCAAUCAUAUAUCCCCUCGGGCCGGCCCUAGAGGUGUGCUGGACCGCUUUACGAUACAGGGUGUCAAAAUUUUGAGGCCUCAAAUAUUGAGAAUUAACGUUAUUCGAUUAAAUAAAAGUUUAAACAAAUUACUAUACUUUCACUUGUGUUACAUUAUAGACACUGCUUAAUUAGAACAAAAAUGGCGGGACACUUAACCUUCAAGAUCAACCUUUCAAUAAUAGUACUAAUAAUAAUAGCUUCAUCAUCACUCCUCCAUUUCUCCGCCGCCCAAAACGCCCGACAAGACUACGUCAAAGCCCACAACCGAGCCCGAGCAGCGGUCGGAGUGGGAGACAUCAGGUAGGACGAAAGGGUGGCUGCUGUUGCCCGUAACUACGGCAACAAAAUCAAAGCCAACUGCGACUUCAAGCACUCCCGCGGGCCCUACGGAGAGAAUCUAGUGUUCGGCAAGCCCGACAUCACGGGCAGAAAAUCGGUACAGAUGUGGGUGGACGAGAAGAAAUUCUACAACUGCAGAGCUAACAAGUGCACCGGGGGAGAAUGCGGUCACUAUACCCAAGUUGUUUGGAAGGACUCCACCAAGCUAGGCUGCGCCAGGGUCGUGUGCGACCGGAACAAGGGUACUAUUGUCCUUUGUAAUUACGAUCCUCCGAGUAACUCCGGCCGUACACUUGCCUCCGCAAAUCCCUCGCUGCAUCUAUCGGCGAGUUUAUUGAUCAGUAUGUGUAGCUGCAGCCUGCAGUAUCUAUUUAAGUAUUUUAAAGAAAGAAAGCCGUAACGGCGCUGACAGGUUGCGCUAAAUAAAGUUAAGAUGGUUCGAUUUUGAACACCUUAUUAUAAAGUUGAAUAUGAUUCAUUGACGGAGUCAAAAAGUUGAUCAAGAAACUUCGAAGAUGAUAAUGCAAAGAAAUCAACUAAAUAAAUAGAAAGUCAACUAUAAAUUCGAUCCAUUCUCUUUACAUAAGUAAAUGUCUGAUGUCAUGAGAUGUCACUUGACUUUUAGUUUAGUGACACAUAUAUCAUUAUACUAUUUUAGUUUUCUCACUGGAAAAUAAGAAGUAGUUUUUAUGUCUGUGAUUGUUAGGUGGUUAAGUAUUAUUGUCUGUUUCAGCCUUUCACACCUAACUGAUGUGAUAAUAGUGAAUUCAAGAAUGAUAUAGAAUUAGGAGAGAAAAUAAAAGUUAGACAAAAAUUAUAUAACGAGAAAAUAUUUUCAAUAAAUUUAUAAGAGUUUGAUUAUAAUUAAGUGCGGUUGAGCGAGAUGAUUUCUUUUCACAGUUAAUAUGAUUGGAGUGAUCCUAACCUUCAAAUUAAAGCAACUUAUUAACAUUUCUUAAUAUAAACAUAAAUAAGAACUUAACUGUGAAUGAUUAAAACAAAGCCAUCCCCAACAACGUAACACCACUAAAAAGGGAGGGCACACAGCCUGGCGAGGUUUAUUGUCUCAUAAAAAAUGUGUAACCGGAGAAAGGUGUGAUUGGAGUCUGGAGAGGUUUAUUGUCUCAUAAAAUGAAGUGUUAUCAUCCAUAUAUAAAUGUUAUAUUUUUAUGUAAAUUAUUAAUUUUUACGCAUAUUUAUUUUUAUUUAUACAUACCUUAUUUAUUUAAAUCACGCACAAAUGCUCUUUAGUUUUUGUUGGUAAUAGAGUAAAUAUAUUGCACUAAUAAACAACACAUUGUAAAUAUUUCUCAGGCAGGUUGGAAGUGCCGGUAGUCCGCCACACUUAAAAUCACUAUGGAUGGGUGAUUACCACCACAAUACCAUAAUGACGAUAAUUAAGCCAACCUCCUUAGACCAAUUUACUGUGGUAAUAUUAAUAAUGCAAUACACAACAACUAUUCUCAAAAUUGGCAAGCACAAAAUGGUAAGUAAAUAACACCAUGAUUUACGCAGUUCCCUCCAAUGUAACAGCGACAACUACAAACACUUCUUCACUAAAAUAGAGUAGCCAUAAGCCGAUCCAAGCCGAUCCAAAAUAGUAUCUCUCAAGUGUUUCCCAAUCCCUAAACAACAAUCUCACUAUUUUUACCGCUCACAAGAAAGUAUUUCUACCACGAUAAAACAUUUACCAAAACUUUCUACUGCUCACCUAUCUACCCAACAAUUGAAAUAAUGUAUUUCAAUAGUUACAAAUAAAAAAAAAGCAACUCACUAUACAAAAGAAGGAAGAAGACGUACAGAGAAGAUAAAAUGAGUAAGAGAUGAUUUCAAACAUGUAUCCAUCGUCUCUUUAUAUAGCUAAAUGAAGAGAAAGUAAAUUAAAUGAAUGAGUUAGCAGCUCAUUUAAUUGGUGGCAGUGCAAUGAAGUUGGAGAUGGCCCUUAAUUUGGAGUUGAGAUCCCUUUCUUUCUUUAUUCAGCUGGGACCAACAAUUCUCUCCCUCCCGCCUAAUUCCGANNNNNNNNNNNNNNNNNNNNNNNNNNNNNNNNNNNNNNNNNNNNNNNNNNNNNNNNNNNNNNNNNNNNNNNNNNNNNNNNNNNNNNNNNNNNNNNNNNNNNNNNNNNNNNNNNNNNNNNNNNNNNNNNNNNNNNNNNNNNNNNNNNNNNNNNNNNNNNNNNNNNNNNNNNNNNNNNNNNNNNNNNNNNNNNNNNNNNNNNNNNNNNNNNNNNNNNNNNNNNNNNNNNNNNNNNNNNNNNNNNNNNNNNNNNNNNNNNNNNNNNNNNNNNNNNNNNNNNNNNNNNNNNNNNNNNNNNNNNNNNNNNNNNNNNNNNNNNNNNNNNNNNNNNNNNNNNNNNNNNNNNNNNNNNNNNNNNNNNNNNNNNNNNNNNNNNNNNNNNNNNNNNNNNNNNNNNNNNNNNNNNNNNNGGUGCAUAAAUAAUUGUUAAUUUAGAAAUUUUGUUAGAAAUUUGGUUAGCAAAUGCCAUAUAAGUAUAUGGACCAAAUUUCUAAGAAAAAAUUUAAUUAAAAUUAAUUUUAUAGGAAUAAAUUAAUAAAAAAUAGGUAAAUUAUAGUGUAGGUUUUAGCAAUAGAAUUGUUAAAGAAUUAUAGGGAUGAAAGUGUUUAGAAAUUGUUGAAUUAGUUAAUUGUCAACAUUGGUGAUGUGGCGAUAAAAUUUCUAUUAGAAAUUGCUAAACUAUUUCUGGAUGGAGAUGGCGCCUAAGAGAGUGAGGUUUCGAUAAUUUUUUGUUGAGUUCAGAGCAAGAAAACACAAGACUGAAGUUAGAUCGACUCGAAGUUUUUUCGGAACGGAUUGACUUUUCAUCGAUGAUCUUCAUCUCUUUCUCCUGUAAUCCUUCUUCAAACCAUGUAAGUCUAAAGUUUGUUGUGUGGAUUACAUACAUGAACUUGUAGUUAAGAUUUUGUGUGAAUGAUAGUGGGGUUCUAACCGUUUGAUUACAGUCGAGGUUAUUCAGAUUUAUAAUGUGUUUUAUCUAAAUCCUAAAUUUUGAUUUGUCAUCAUUCCACAAUUCUGUUAACUCGAGAGAGGAAAUGGCUUAAUCCGACUGAAAACUACAAGAUCAUUAAAGUAUUUGACCCAAAAGACAAGUAUUUAAUGUGACUACUUGAUGAUGUUUACGUAUGUAUUUAGUUUUCUUUAAAGUUCAAAUGUAAAAUGUAUAUGCAGCCACUUGGUUAAUAACAAGGUGAAAGUCGAUCUUAUCGGUUGAUGAGUUCAGCACAUCAAAAUGUCAGACCUUUGCUUAGUCAUAUAAUUACAUUCCUCUCUUUUGGUUUAAGAACGAUUUCCACAGACAGUGGUAAUUAAAAUAAAGUAAUUUUCAUUUUUCAAACAACUUAAAAGAAUUUCAGAAAUCUAAAAAGUCAAUGGCAUCAUGUCACAAUGUUACCAUUUAGUUCAGUAGCAUCGAUCUAUUAGCCUAUUUAUACCCUUCAAUUCAUUACCUUUUUCUCCAUCAACACUCACCACUACUGCAAAUCCAUCUCAGCACUCCCUUUUCACUAACAGAUCAACAAUGGCGAUUGUCAACCUUCCUCCUCUCAUUACUCUGCUCAUCUUCAAACUUUUAGUCUCAUUUCAUCCCACUCAAGCCCAAAACAGCCCCGCAGACUAUCUCAGGGCCCACAACCAAGCCCGCGCCCAAGUCGGAGUCGGGCCCAUGACAUGGGAUGCCAACGUGGCCGCCUAUGCUCAGCGCUACGCCAACAGUAGGAGGGACUGCCAGCUUAUUCACUCGUCCGGUCCCUAUGGCGAGAAUCUCGCCAUGGGAAUGCCGGACCUCACAGCCGUAGCAGCCGUGAAAAUGUGGGUGGACGAGAGGCAGUUCUACAAUUGCGGGGCCAACCGAUGCGUUGGGAAUCAGUGUUUGCAUUACACUCAAGUAGUGUGGCAGUCUUCCACGAGGUUGGGUUGUGCCCGUGUGAAAUGCAACAACGGCAGGGGCACCUUUGUGAUAUGCAGUUAUGCUCCUAGGGGCAACAUUGUCGGUCGACGCCCUUACCCUAGGUGUUUCUCGCCGAACGAGGAUGUUAUUGCCGGCGUUACAAGUUAUUAAGUGUUUUAAAACCACUCUCAACCUCCAGAAAGUUGUGCCUUGAAAUGUUGUAGCUAAAUAAGUCCAAUGAAGACAGAAUGCUACAUAAUGUGGUUAUCUGAAGUAUCUAUGUGUAUUUUACUAUUUUAUAAGCCACUCUUUUAUCUUUGUAUUUUGGUUUGGGUUAUAGCUCAAAACAUCAACUCAAGUAGUUAAAUUAAAUUCAACAAUUUGCACAUAAUGGGUUGCCGACGAACAUCAUGAAUGAACAAAGCUUGAUUUGAUAGAUAGAAAGUUGGAUAGAAUCUGAGAAUUUUCUCAUCCGAAACGGAAAUUUUAAAUUCCAACAAAGUGUUUUUUAGGAGCUAGUUUUCCCAUUACCAACUAAAUUUCAAUUCGCAUUCCACCUGUCAAACCAAUCACAAUUGUUGAUAUAUGCUAGAUUGAUUUUCCUUGCUCCAGUUUGAAGCAAGAGAAAUUCCACCCCUUACAAACUCACAGACAAAAGAAAGCCAUGAGCAUCAAAUUUGAAGCAUUCAGUACUGCGACAUUGAUUAGCGUGUAACUUAUCCAAUUAUGUUCAGUUCAAUUCACAUGAAACUUUCUCAUGGAAAAAAGAAGAGAGAAAGGAAGCUAUAUCAUUAAUCUGAAGUCUGAACCUGUAAUGCUUCAACUUGGCCCCGGCCUUGGUUGGAUCAUUGUAUAUACUUGGGAAUCUCGCCCUUUCUGAGGAGACCCAAAGCGUAUUCAGCAGUGUCAGUGAGAUCCUUGAUAUUGUGGACAGACUUUUCCUCGGAUCCCAGCAAGAAGAUGGCACGAACUUCAGCCUUCUUAGCCAAUCUUGCUGCUAAAUUAAGAGGUAAACUUGGAGAGUUGAGACUGCGUAAUAGUUGGCGGUACAGAGACAGAACACACCCUCUAUUCCGUGCCAAAUCUUCAGCUGUCGCCCACACCAGGCCUUUCGCCAUCCUAAAAAAGGAUUCUUUCUGUAAAACUCUGCAUCUCCAAAAACCAAAAACACUGACUUAGACUUAGAUGAGCUAGCUAUACUACCCUUCGUAGCAAGGGGCACGAAAUAGUAAAAUCAGUUGGGAGAGAAGAAACACUGAAACAAAUAAACCUUCAGGAAGAAACGAUGGUGGCUUAUUGUUGGACUCUCAAUACAUACCAAAACGCUACCUAUAAAUCCAUUCACUGGGACGGAUCAGCCGGCUGGGAACUUAUUAGGGUCUACUAACAAAUAAAACCAGAUAGGAAUCAUGGUUGGGAAUUUUCGGUCCGACAGGAAGUAAGAUUCUGAGAUUUUGAGGGCGAACUUUUCUGUUGUCAUCCAAAUUCCAUCCAACUUUUCACACCAACACAAACCAAAUUGAGAAACUGAGGAAACAAUUAGAACUCAGAGUAAGACAAACAAGUUACAAAGAGUCAGCGAAGUGGUUUCAAUCAAGCACAAGGGCGCCCUCAGCUUAAUCAUCUCACUCACGCAUUAAAUCAAACACAUGGUGUGCGGUUAAAGUUCAUCAAGUCUCAAAGCAACUCAUGUGCGGAUUCAUCAAAUUCAAAGCAACUCAUGUACGCAUAUCCUAUAAAAUCGUAAACUUUCAAACCAGACUUAGGAACCCGACAUGGGAUAAUAUCCCCUUUUCAAGUCAAUUCGGAGUUUCACAAAUCAAUCAAGGACUGUGUACCCAUGGUUUAUAGGAUAAUCUACCUGAAAUGCUACGUAAUUGGGAUCGCUUAGCCGAACCGUUGAAGCAGAAGGCGUCGCCACUGCUUGUGUCGUAACAAAAUAAUAUCUGAUCUCUCUCCCCCAAUGUCGACUUUCGUCUGGUGGCUCUCGGGCCGCAGCGGGCACUUAGUAAUUACUCUUUAUCUCUCUCUUUUCCAGGUGCAGGUGCUGCUGCGGCUUUUAACUGCGGUUGCGUGAGUUGUUUUUCCAUAGUCCAUCAGUUCAGGGAAAUUACAGUUUGAUCCCUCUGCUUGUGACAACUCGACGCCUAUUCUUUGUUUCCUGACCAAUCAGCCUCAUUAACUCUUAACUUAUAUACCUUUUAACUUAUCUACUUUAAUAAUCCUUUAUAUUUGACGUAUUUUUUAAAUUGUCCUAAGAUCGUGUUUUAGUUAUUUUGGUCUGCAUUAAAAUUUUCCCCACUCCCUAUCAAUAUUUUUUAUUUUAUUCCGUUUACUUUGCCACAUGAAUCAAUUAUACAAACACCCACAUCAUCAUUAAUUUUUUUCAAAUUAAAAAUUUAAAAAAUCCUUUUUUUCCCACCCUCUUUCUCUUCCUUUCUUUCUCCUCUCUCAAUUUCAUCUCUUUGUUUCUCAUAGCCAUUUUAGCAUGCCGAGCAAACUAAAUCAUCUUUGGCCUUAAAGUUAUAAGGCGUAUCGAAAGUCUCUCUUUCAGAGCGUUGAAAUCCUCGUCGUCGGCAAAAGAGUUGCCGUUGAAGAAUACGAGAUCUUUUAAAACAAACAGAAUGAGACAAGGCAAUGGGAAGAAAAAAGAAUGUACGAAUUGGAUUGAUUUUUUUUUGUUUUGAAAAUCCAACCGUGAUGGUCGAAGAACCGUUCAAAGAGAGAUCCGAGAGAGCCUCUGUCGGAGAAAUCGAGAGGGAGAAUACUAUUGAUCUUCUUAUCGGAAGAGGGGGACGUCGCCGACGAUGACUUCUUUCUCCACAACCAGCUCCACCACUCCAUCUCUCAUUGGGUUCGUCACUGCUGUCCCUGCUGCCACAACAGUUCAUUUUCGGAAUUACUCGGCGAAAAUCCUCUCCCUGCUUGACCACCCUUUCCUCCAUACCCACUACGCUUGAAUCGGCGUCUCUCACUACACUUGUCUAUUGAUUGAUUACUGUUAGAUUAUGGAGUCUGAUAAACUAAAGACUUUUGAGCUUGGCCCAGUUAGUUAGUUUAAUCAAAAAAGGAAUAGGAUUAAUCUUGUCUAUUCCAUAUAGGAUUAAGAUUAAUCUUGUCUAUUUCAUAUAGGAUAGGGAUUAAUCUGGUAGCUCCCUAUAAAUAACAUAGUUUUGUAAUUGUAUUUUGUAUCCCAAACAUAAUAGUCGAAUUCCUGAUUUGGUAGCGCCCCAGACGUACUCUUCCUGCGAAGGGGAACUGGGCUAACCAAUCUUGGUGUUCUGUGUUCUUAAUUUUCAGUUCGUGAUUGCGUUGUAUUCCCUACAGCUGGUAUCAGAGCUCCAGUUCGGAUCGAGGAUCAGACGACAAUUACGAUGGACGGAAAAUGGGCGGUGGAGAAAUUCGAUGGAGUUGAUUUCGGGUUCGGAAAGAUGCAGAUCGAGGAUUAUCUGUAUGGUAAAGAUAUGGACCUACGAUUAGAAGGAAUGAAACCGGAGGGCAUGAAGGACGAAGAUUGGAAGCUUCUAGACAGGAAGACGAUGAGCGUGGUGCGUUUAUCAUUGUUUAGGAAGAUCGUGCUACAGACGCAAAAGGUGAAAACGAUGAAGGAGAUGUUGGAUAUGUUAUCUGGGAUUUAUGAGAAGCCGUCUGUAGCAAAUAAAGUUCAUCAGGUACGGCGGUUGUUUAAUCUGCAAAUGGGAGAAGACACGGAUGUUGGUGAUCACUUGGAUGAGUUCAACGUUGUGAUAUCGAAGUUAAGUUAUAUCGAUAUCAAUUUUGACGAUGAAGUCCAAACUCUACUUCUACUGUCCUCUCUGUCAAAAAGUUGGAGUACAACUAUUAGUGCUUCAACAGGUAAAAUGAAGAUGAAAACAGAUGAAGUCAGAGAUUUUAAUUUUGAGUGAACCAAUUCGCAGGAAGGACAAUGCAGGCUCAACUUUAGGUUCCGCUUCAAGUUCAUGUUCCAUUUUUAAGAUGGAUGGCAGAGGGAAAAAGAAGGCAAAGAAAGAAGUUCGAUGCUGGAAUUGCAAUGAGUUGGGUCACGAAAAAAUAAUUACAGUGCGAAAAAGUCUGCAAAAUGGAAAAUUGGGUGUUGGAUUUGGGAUUAAUAUUCCACUUUAGCUAGGAUGCAGGUAAAAUGGAAAAUUAUACCUCUGGAAGCUGCGGAAAGGUCUAUUUUGAAGAUGGGACGACCUUGAACAUAGUGGGAAAGGGAGAUGUUAGAAUUGCAACACUUGGAGGAUCUAUUGUGGUACUAAAGAAUGUGAGGCACAUUCCAAACUUGGACAGAAAUUUGCUUUUGGUUGGACAGUUAGAUGACGAAGGAUACUUCGUGCACUUCGGUAGUGAGAAGUGGAAGGUUACCAAAGGAGCUACCUUGAUAGCUUGUGAUAUAAGGUUUCGACGUUGUACAUGGCUUAUAAUGCUCGUAAUAGUGUUGUUGUUGACGAAGGUAAUGGUGAUGGAUCAAUGUGGCAUUUUCGUCUUGGCCACAUGAUUGAGAAAGAGAUGAAGGUGUUAUGUUCAAAGGAAUUUCUACCAGACCUCAAAUUUGUGGAACUCGGAUUGUGUGAGGUAUGCUUAUUCGAGAAGCAGACUUGGUUGAUUUUUUCGAAGGGUGGUAUAACUUUGAGGAAGCUGAAGAUGGAAUUAGUCCAUAGUGACUUGUGGGUUCCAACAAUGGUAGCAUCUCUUGGUGGAUCGUUGUACUACAUGAUAUUUGUAAACGAUGCCACAAGGAAGACAUGGAUUUACUUCGUGAAGCACAAGUCUGAAGCAUUUGGCGCCUUCAUGAAAUGUAGCAGUUGUAACUACAGAAUUGUGGAGUUGGAUACUUCUAACUCAAGUGGGAGAAUAGAAGCUCAAAUUGAAGGGGAGAAUGUUCAGGAACUCCACCAGAUUCUCUGUGACGAUCCACAAGGUAACGUGGAUCACCAAAUAGGUAUGCGCCUUCAAAUUAUUCAGUUUAUAAAAUAAAGAAGAAGGCGGAUGGGAGCAAACGUUACAAGGCAAGGAUGGCAAGGAUGGUGAUGAAAGAAUUUGAACAUGAAUACAAUAUUGAUUAUAUUGACGUCUUUACUUCAGUUGUUAAGUUAACAACUAUUAAAUUAGUGCUAUUUAUGGUGACUGUGGAGAAUUUGGAAUUACAACAGAUGGAUGUAAAGAUGGUCUUCUUUCAUGGGAAUUUAGAUGAAGAAAUUUAUAUGAAGCAGUCAGAGGGUUAUUUGUCUGAAGGCAACAAUCAGUUUGUGUGCAAAUUGAAAAAGUUGAAGCUGUGUAUGACUUCAACUGCCUUUGAUAUUUGAAGCUGAAAGCAUGGUGCUGCCUAAAAUAAGAAAUAUUGAAGACAGAGAUAACAAUGAUAGGAGUUAGUCUUCAGGUUGUAAGAUUAUGGAGUCUGAUAAAUUGAAGAUUUUUGGGCUUGACCCAGUUUGUUUAUUUAGUCCGAAAAUGAGUAGGAUUAGUCUUGUCUAUUUUGUAUAGGAUUAUGAUUAAUUUUGUUUAUUCCAUAUAAGAUAAGAAUUAAUCGGACAGCACUUAAUAAAUAACCUAAUCUUGUUAUUGUAUUUUAUAUCUCAAAUAUAUUAGUCAAAUUUCUGAUUUGAUAGCGCCCCCAGGAGUAUUUUUUUUAUGAAGGAGAAUUGAGUUAACAAAUCUCGGUGUUUUGUAUUUUUUAUUUUUUGGUUUGUAAUUUUGUUUCAUUCGGGUAUGCUCCAACGGCGAUUUGCACUCUGUUCUCCAGAAGCAGCCAGGGAAUUGUUUUCCGUCGCCGCCGUCAAGUUCUUUGCUUAAGAAGCUGAGAUGGACGAUUAACUUAGCUAGCAAUUUCUUUGACACUAUUGAUAAAGCUCAGAGAGUUGGUUAGACUAGGUUUGUCGAGCAAAGAUCAUUUUGGAACGUCUUUAGAAGAGUUCUAUUUCACGAGGCAUCAAAGCCAAUCCGACCUCGAUCCCACGGCUCCCGUCCCGGCACUCCGCCAUCGGAAUUGCACCCGUCCGAUCAAUCGACGUCACCUCCACCGAUUUCGGCCUCCCCCAUCCGAAAUCAGCGCCGUACACGUUGAACCUAGAGGAUCCAGCAAUUCCAAUGAAAACUCCUAUGCUCGCCUCCAAAUUCCUCAUGAACCUCGGCAAAUUGUCUUUCUCCACUGUCGCUUUCUCUUCCACAGCAUCAAUCAUCCUACUGAUCCUCUCCACUACAAAUCCGGCUAUCGGCUUCUUAAAAUUGGGAUUUAGUGAAGAAAUUGGGAUUUAGGGAUUGAGGGAGAUGAGUUUGCAGGAAGGGAAGAGAGGGAGAAAGAGCUUGAAGGGAGAUGGUUUUUUUUCUUUUUUCUUUUUAUUUUGUUGACUAAUGAUUAUGACUUGUGAUGUGCUUUUAUAGUGCGCGGCAAAGUGGACGGAAUGAGACGAAAAAUGUUGACAGUAAUUUGAAAAAAUUUCAACUCAAAUCAAAAUGAAUAAAAACACGAACUUAGGACAAUUAAAAAAUACGUCAAACUUAGAGGAUUAUUAAAGUCGAUAGCUCAAUUUUUUGGUAUGGCAUAUUCAUUGUUAUCAUAACUCAUGAGUUUUCACUUUUCACAAUUGGAGUACUUUCGGAAAGUUUAGGAAAAAAUUCGAUCGAAAUUUGGCUCUAUAAUAAAGGAGUUGGCUCGAUAAUGAAUGAGACGAGUUUGAGCUAAUCCUGAUUCGACUCGGCCGGCUGGCCCGUUAGAUCGACUCGUGAGCUCGAUGAGCCUAGCUUACCAGCUCGGCUAAGGCUUACGAGUUAGCUCGAUUACCGCUCGUUAAAUGGUUCAAAUAUUCUCAUUUUGUCUAAAAAGAAGAAUAUAAUGAUUGAUGUUGUGGUAAUGAUUAAUUACUUAAUUAGACUAUAAGAGUCGAGUCCAUUUUAGAAUAUUGUAAAUUUUUAAAAGGUUUAUCCGAAUAAAACUCGAGAUUAAACUCUUACAAACAAACCGAUCUAAACUUAUUAGAACUUACGAACAAGCCAAUUUGAAGCCGAGUCGAACCCUCGAGCAAAAUUAGUCGAGCUGACCUCGAGUUUGAUUAUUAUGGCUCGAAUGAAGCUCUCACUCCCCUAUAAACUAAACAAGCUCCGUUCAUCAGUAGUCUACCGCUAGUUAGAGACUUAGAGCGAUUCUUUCCCACCCAGAACUUUUUCAUACACAAUUAAUCACGAAAGCUUCCUACUUACCCAGUUCAUUGAUUCCUUUUUUAUCUGUUAACCUGGAAUAGAUUCAUAGGUAAAAGUUUUGAGGUAUUUGCCCCAUACAAAUACAAAUUUACAUGGUUUAUACAAACAAAAGUAUAUAUUUUGUUUGUACAGAAAUAUGAAAUCCUUUACAAAUCCACACAGAUUUUUACAUGUCCUUUCUUUACCAAUAUGGUCUCUAAGAUAGGUUUCCAGUUAUCAGGUCCCUUCAUUUUGCUUAUUAAGUGCCACACCUACCUGAGUUAGCACUUAGAAUACUCACUCACAUCUAAAGAAGGAAACUGUAUCAUACAUAUUACAUCCAACUCCCACCAAAAUUAUAUAUACCCUUUGCCACUCCUAGAGGACAUGAUAAGUCAGUAACAAUAACCAGUUUUACAUUGUGGUUCACAAAGAAUUAGACAUCUGUAAAUGAGUACUCCAAUUUGCAACAAUUCAUUAACUUCAGUUCGAUCUCUCCUGUCCUGGCAUCCCAAAUUCCAUCUUUGUUUCUCUGCAUAUCCAGGGAACAGAUGACCUGCUGAAACUACUGCAACUUUUAUACAUUUUCAUGACUUAACUCUUCUUUUUUCUUCCAGUACUUACAAUGUAGCUCUCUCUUCAUAACACCAUGAGCUUUUAGCUUUCAAAAGACCACACCUUUGCUUUCGAUUGCUUUACGGAUCCUCAGGUUUCUGGACCGCAUUACCACUGCGUGUCAUUUGUUCUGCUUGCCCUUCAAAGCUCAAUGAUUUCACAGAUUCUUUGACAACGGCAUCCGAAACUCGCACCUUCAUAAUACUCCCCACAACUCAUUCAGUAAUUUACUCUUUCAGUUUAAUCAAACACAACACUUUUUCUGUAACAUUCAUACCUGUAGGGGCAUUUGCUCUGCUUGCCCUUCGAAGCUCACUGAUGGCGCAGAUGCAUUGGAAUCCGAAACUCUCACCUUCAAUAGCACCUCCACAAUUCAUUCAGUAAAAUAUACUUUGUUCAGUUUUAAUUUAAUCACAAUUUUUUGUUCUUUGAAAGUUUGUACCUGUAAUGGCUUCAUGAUACCCAUGUCUGAUUCAUCAGUUUUAUCCAGUGCUUCUUGAGCUUGCAACUCCAUAGAAUCUCGAACCAGUUGGCUUAAAAAGUUCACGUCAUCAGACAUGACUCCAAGUCCUUUCAAUAGCUUCGACCCGAGUUGUAAACUAGUCUGCAUUAUAUUGUUGCGUCAGAAGCAAAGGUUAAGAGUCAAAAACAAGUAUAGGUAGGAAAGAGUGAAUAAAGAAUCUGCUUCGUUUACCUCUGCAUUCUCUAGAAUGGCAUCUGUAGCACCACCUUUCUUCAGAUCCAAAAGAUGCAUAAUGUUCUGAGCUCUAGCAUAUAUCGGAAUCUGUAGCAUCGAGUAUUCACCAAAAACCCACAAAUUCAGCAAGACAGGAUUACACGUAACAGAUGAAACUUUAACAGCUGAUCCACAUAAAUUAGUAUUUAUGAAAAAAGGGAAAGUCUCACCCCAGGAAAUGCAAGUCGAAGCCUCUGUACAGCCUCAAGUGUCCUUUUCUUUCCAGUGUAAGUAACUAUGACAGCUUUAGGUGCAGAGAAGCCAGCCGUUCGGAGUACUUCAGGGCGUGAUCCAUCCCCAUAUAUAAUUGGGAAACCAAGUUUUCGAGAUGCCUGUGCACCAAGUUAUAGCUUUCAGCUUCCAAAAGAUGAAUGGGAAAUCAUGCAAUUUGUCAUUUCCUUGGACGUACACAAAAGAGCAAGCAUGAGCCUAGAGGAUUAUGAAUAAAAAUGUUUAGAGUAACUCUAGCAUGUAGGAAGAAAAUAAAGAUCCUGAACCAGAAAUUCUUGUAAUAGUUGGAUGGAUAAUCCCAUGGGGGCAUUUCCAUACCUGUACCACGGAUGGGUUCAGAUCGAAAGCUAUGAAAGGCAUUCCCACCGCUGCGUCACCAUCCACUCCUGAAGUAAACGGAGUGGACAAGAAGUUUGCCAACACCUGCAUACAGAGAGCUUGAAAAUUUAGAGCUAAUGCCAGAAUCCUGCAAAAUCGGGACGUAGUCCACUUUCAUAAUUAGUUAUGUACCUGGCCCAUCUGUCCAAAUCCAAGGAUGACAACAGGCUCACUGCCUUCAAAGUUGACUGGCUCAGCCACUUUCUGAACGUUUAUAAUUUAGAUUAAAGGGAGAAGUACCAACCAUUGAUAAACAUCAUAGCAAGGUAAAGAAGUAUUCUUUUGAGCUAAGCCUGAACUUGCAGCUGAAAGCGUGAAACUUUAGAUGCACUCAAUCUCAAAAGUGUCGAAUCGCUAGAGAAAAGGAGACAUACUUCUUCUGCAUCAGACUUGUCUUCAAUAAACCGAGCAGCUCUUCUUCCAAGUUCAUUAAGAAACGGGGUUAAUGCCAUUGACAACACGACGACGAUUAUAAGAAGUUUGUUGAGCUCAAGUGGUAGCACUCCCAGUCUGUGUCACAUCAUAAAUAUGAGCAAUAACAACAUUGGAUACAUAGCCAUGCAAAAUAUAGCAUUGCGUCCUCUAUGAAUGAAAUGAAUACUCACCUGUUAGCCAGAGAAAAGACAACAAAAGCAAACUCUCCACCCUGUGAUAGCAGCAACCCGAUUCUUACACUCUCUUGCAAAGUGAGUCCAACUCGAGGACCUAUAGCUGUUAUAAUCAGUGUCUUGAUCACAAUUAAUCCCCCCAGGAGUGACAGUACAUUUGGCCAUUCUCGUAAAAGCAGCUGCAUUCCAAGUCGAUAACCAAUUCAGUUAAUCGAGAAAUAGACUAAUCGAGAAAUAUCAGUUCCGCGUGUUGUACCUGAGUGUCCACAGAAGUUCCUGUCGUUACAAAAAAUAAUCCAAGAAGCAACCCCCUGAAUGGUCGUAUGUCAGCUUCAAUCUGUGUACGGAAAUUUGUUUCUGCCAAUAAUGCCCCAGCUAAAAAUGCACCAAGCUGUAAAUUUGCAAGAGUCAGCAUUUACAUGAGCAUAGAUACAAUGUUAAUUAACCACUUGAGGUAUGAAAGAGGGUUUAAGACCGUGUCACUGAAGCCCAACUUCUGAGUAAUAAGAGAAGUCCCAGCAACUGUCAGCAGGCAGAGAGCAACAAAGGCCUCUGAGCUUCUUGCUUCUGCAACAACCUGGGUAAGGUAACAACCUUAUGAUGCAUGAGUAAUAACAGAAUCUCUCAGAUUUAAAGAGAAAAUAGAUAGAGCUCCCACCUCAAAAACUCGCCUUAGACCGAAUUUCCCACCAAGAGAUAGCAAUCCCAAUCCCAAUAAGGCCUUUAAACUUUCCUGAAUAAGCGUUGGCAAUAUACUUUCCCCCACCAGAUUCUGCUAAGAUGGAUGAAAAUUCAGAUAAAAGAAUUUUAGCUUCAGAUUUAAACAAAAUGCACACCUUACAAUUGAUGCAAGCAAACAUGCUUACAAUUUACACCUAAUCAUAUUACGUAGUCUUCGAAAAUGAAUACCGAAAGAGAAAAUUUGGACACACCUGGCUCUCUAGGACAGGCAGUAUGACUAAAAGAGGAACUACUGCUAUAUCCUGCAAACAACAACCAUAACAAACGAUUUUACAUAAUUUAAUUUACAAAUAAGUUUCAUUUAGAGAGAGAUAGAUGAAUCAAGAGACAAAUAAGCAUGUGAACCAAGGUAUAAACUAGCCGUAGAAAAAUUGUGUAUAAAUAGUAAAAGUAAACCUGUAAAAGAAGUAUCCCCAAAGUUGCUGAACCAAACCUCGUAGGCAGCUCACCUUUUUCUGCAAGAAGCUACAUAGCAUGCUUAUUAAGCUUCACGAUGCUCUUCCAACUAACUUUGAUUAAAGCAUUUCUUGAAAGUGAAAAGGGUACAUAUUACAAGCAACGGGAAAAGAUAUUUUGGUCUAUGAUCUAGUCUAAUUAAUGUGCAGAUGCAAAAAUUUCCAAUUCCCCAUCAGCAUACUUUUAUGAGUCUGAUUCUCUUUUGAGUUUCAACAAGCUUUCUUUUGUGUUUGGCAACAAUGCAAGAGGCUAAGAAAAUAUGUAUCCAAAUGUAAUUCAUCAUCAAAAUUAAAAAACCAUAAAAAAAUCCUCAAAUUGGAAAAAAAAUCAGGAGUUUUCAUCUCUUUCCUGCACAAGAUUGCAAUUUCAACAUUUACAGGUUAAGAAUAUAGCAACUGCUGCUAGAGAUGACUUCCAUUCUAAAAGCGCGACUUAUGAAUGCAGUGCCUACUACCUAAUAACAAUAUGACCUGGAUUCCGAGAAGUACCAAGAUACCAAUACAGUAAAAGAUGAGCAUUGUCCUGACAAGUACCUGAAGAACAAAGGCAGAAGAAGACAGAGAGAGAGCUGCACCAAUAACAAUAGCCUCAUCAAUGCUUCUGAUAUUCACCUGAAUUUGAACGAGUCCAGAAAUCAAAUUGUAAACUCCAAAUGUUCAGCAACCAUAAUGUCAACAUAAAAUCACAAAAAAGCGUAUAUGCUAAUGCUGGAUCUGUAAUUUAUGCUUAAUGAAUUCUUUAGUCAUAAACUAACUGGCAAAAUAAUGUUAUGGAGAAUAAACAAAGAACCAAAGAACCAAAGAACAAGAAUACAUGGACAAGAGACAAGGGAAGAAACAAGUGCACUCACCAAAUCAUCCCGUGAGUGAAAAAGGAACUGCAGAAUUUUUGUUCCAACAGCCCCAUUAGGUGGAAGCUCAAAUGCUGUGAAAGCAAGAGUGGAUAGAACAACCUUCAAAACAAUAUAAUAGAGUGUAAACAUGAGCAACUUGUGUAUAUAUAACUCUCUCAAUUCAUCCAAGCUUGAUGGACGGUUAAUAUAUAAUCCAAGCUACAGUAAAAAAGGGUGAUGAUGUACCUGAGUCAAUCCCAUGCCAAAGGCAAAUUUUGCUAGGGCUUUAAGUCGUGCAAGUGAGAGCUCUAAACCCAUUUCAAACAGCUGAGGUAAAAACGAAACAUAUUAGUUGAUAGUGAUUCUGCUAUCUGCAUAGUAUUAGUACUUCCUAUGACAAUAUCUAAAGGAGUCAUAGGACGUAUUCAGAAGCAAUGAGUUGAAUUAUUGAUCACGGAGUUGAGAGUGCUAAAUACUGGAGAUAUGAAGAUAGAAUUCAUCUGAAAGGAAAAAUGUUAUACAAUCUAUUGUCCUUACCAAGAACAGAAUUCCCCAUUCUGAAAGAACUUUAACAUCUGUUAGAUUUCUGAUGAAGCCAAACUGAUUGAGUACAAUCCCAGCAAAAAAGAAACCAAGUAUCUGAGGAACAGUAACCAAUAUAUUAGUCAUUGAUUGCCGUUGUUACAUGGAAAUUGGAAACGAUAAUGGUUUUACUCACAAAUCAUAAGACAUGGCAAAUGAUGAGAUUUUCAAACUUACUGGGCUAGCUUUAAUGAUCCUGAACACAGGGACAACAACAACAGUAACAGCCAAGAAAGUCAAUGUAUCCAAUCCCAGAUCGUUGAUAACUUCUACAGCACCAGCAAGCUCACUUGUCGAAUGUGUACGAGUUCUCUCCCCCGGGUUUAGUUUUUGUUUAAAAAGAUAGAAUCCUCCUCCUCUAGUUGGUGCUGAAGUAGUCGUCAAGACGGUCUUGUUGUGUUGGAGGACUCUGGUUGAAUAUGUAAAAGAGUAAUGACUUAUCCUGCAUCCAACUGCAUUCAAUUUCUUCAUAUAUUUAGCCUGCUUUCUGGAAUACCAAGUACCAGAGGAACAUCCAUGAAAUCCGGAUAUCCCAAAACAGCAACCCCUAAAUUGCCUACUUUGUUGGAAAACAUCUUGUCCCUGCAAAGCAGUAAACACAUGGAAUUCACUGUCACUGAAUCAUGAACUUCCAAUCAUCUGUAAAGCACACCAAACAGUAAACCACAGAAAAAAAAACUAGGAAUCAAACAGCAAGAAGCACUCUUUAUUCUGUUUGAGAAGCUCAUGGAAGGAAAUAGCUGAACAAGAAAUUGUAAACGUAACACAACAUAUAAAAACUGGCAAGAAUUUCAGCAGACAUAUGAAGCCAGCUGCAUAAGAAUGGUUCCAAGUAUGAACCUUUCGAACUCAAGAAGCCUUGAAAGGUCACAUUUGCACCUUGGGUUGAAAGAGAAGUACCUUGGGAAAGCGGGAACAGUUGAUGGAGUCCAACAUAACUACAACUCUCAACACGAGUAGAGAAGAAUCAAAGAGACGAAGAAGAAGGAAAAGGAAAAGGUUGCGUAGGUUUGUUGUUUCAUUUCAGACGAACCCAGGAGUAGGAAGAUGAAACCGCGCCCCCUGUAUUACUGGAGAAGGGCAAUCCAAAUUUUACUAUUCUUUUUUGGUCAUUUCUUCCGUACUUCCUACCGUUGCCAGUCGUUUUUUUCAUUUUCAUUUUCAUUUUAUUUUUAAUUGUUUUUCUGUGGCGAGGAAAUUGGAGAAGAGGUGACCUGUAAAAGUCUACGUGGCGGAUUUCGUUAUCUGCGAGUGAUAAAUUGAUUCUGAGCCCAAGCGAUGAAUUUGGCGGCCUGCGGUCAGUGGUGUUCGGUGGUCGGCGGCGCUGGAUUCCGGUGUUUAAUGUCAUUAUCCAUUAGCGGAGAAAGCGAAAUUUAUACUCAUUUUUGCAAGGACAACAACUACCCACAUCUACCGUAUAUCUACCACUACUCUGCUACUUUCUUCGGUGUCACUACGAACUUCACUUCAUGCAGAGCCAAAAAUACCCUUUGGGACACAUUUGCUUCUUUCCCUUCCAAAUAACAACCUCAAGCUUCCUUCUUUUUUCCUUACUGCAGAAAACUAAUUCACAGUCUUCAUUGAGUCCUUUGAAACUGAGAAACAACCGGGGGGAAGGAACUCGGCAAAAAUGAACUUAUCAGUUCAGCCAGUUCAUUUCUUGCUGCAAGUACGAGAAAUAUUAUGAUAAUGUGUUCCAACAUGCAAGGAUGAAGUAACUCAACUUGCAUCCAUAUGGCUGGUAAUGCCCAAGCCACUUAUACAUUCUACUCGACAAAUCUUAUUCAGACUGCCAAAUUGAUAUUGUUUGGUUUACACAACAAACUGAUACGCCACAAACCCUCACAAGUCACAACUGAACAUAAUAUAUAGAUUAGGAGGAGCCAGUUAUUUUUUCAAGUGGAAGCAUUGCCAGGAGCAAACUUGAGUGAUACGCUGUUGACACAGUGUCGUUCAUCGGUGGGUGUCUUAAACCCUUCCCCUUUAAAGACAUGACCCAGAUGGCCUCCACAAGCUGCACAUGUUAUCUCAAUUCUCCGGCCAUCUGGGUCAGCCUGAGAUGCAGACACCAGAUUGACAUUGUUAGUUGUUACUACCAACAAAGUUCAACGCUUUGCUACAUGAUUAAGAAGAUGAAACCAAAUAGGGAGGGGCAACUCACAUGGCGGUUUAUGGCUCCAGGAAUACCAUCAAAGAAAGCAGGCCAGCCACAACCAGAAUUGAACUUUGUGGUUGAUUUGUACAGCGGAGUCCCGCAUCCUGCACAGCUGUAGACUCCCUCCUCGUAGAACUUGUCGUACUGCCCCGUACCAGGAUACCUACCCAGAAUUAGAGCGGAGUGAAGAACCAUUUAUCAGAUUCCACACCGAGCGCGAAAAAUACAGACUUAAAACAAAGUGAAUAACCAAUUAAUGGUAUAUAUCUCACGGUAUCACCUAUUGGAUUCACUUAUAUAGGCAACUCCAGGUUCAAUUUCUCAUCCACCCACAGCAAGUUAAAGCCCAAGAGGUUCCUGGAUUUCAUUUCAGAGUAUUUAAGAAUCGAGCCCAUCAUUUCUAUAGUCCGACGACAAGUGGGAAGUAAAUGAUGGCGAGCUCUUGUUCACUCUUUAGAUAACUCAGGUAAUCCAAAUCCCCAACUCGAAAGAAGUUCUAAAACACAACAUGAUUCAGAAUCGAUGGACAUCAGCCCUCUUCAAAUUACAGCAUCGAAAACAAACCCAUAUCCCAAUAUGUCAGUUGGUUAGUGAAUUUGAUUACUUUUCGAAUCUUCUUGACGAAACAACAGAGGACGUUCUAAAAUUAACUCUAGAAGAGGGAAAGAAAAUAUGGAUCAACUUAGGUGGUUUCAAGGAAUCAUACUCGGUGCCUUUAAGCCUCAAAAUCCUGAACUGUUCAGGCGAAAGGACGGCGCGCCACUCUUCAUCAGACUUCUGGACCGACCCGGGAGCCGACAUGGCUACAAUCCGACUGACACGAAAGCUACGCUUGGAGGAGACAAAGGACGAAGACUUAGCAAAAGGGGAGAAGUAUACAAAGCGAGAAACUUUGGAUUGCGAUUGCAACGACCUGGAAUGGGUGACGGUGUAAAGAGGAGGGUUAGUAGGAAUAGUGGUUGGAUGAAAGAGAAGGGUGUUGGCGGAGGAUGCAAUUGGAGAGGUUUUGAGCAUGCUGCGCAUUUUCUAUUUGCAAGGAUUCUGUGCUGUAGAGAUAAAGGAGAUGAGACAAAAGGCUGGCAAGCAGUCCACCAGUCUGGAUUGGGUAAUUAUUGCUUUUGGUUCCUUUUCUAUUACGACUGUAUACUGUGGUCACAAAUCUUUUUCAAAAGAAGAAAUAAAAAGGGAUCCGAAGACCGGGGGAUUGAACCCGACGUGAAUCGAACACGCAACCUUCUGAUCUGGAGUCAGACGCGCUACCAUUGCGCCACGGAUCCGGUCGGUGUUUAAGCAUCCCUAAAUGUUUAUUUCACUCUUAAAAAACAAACAAAAUUAAAAGGAACCAACUCUCCAUUUCCCCCUGCUUGGAAUCAAUCGAUGCAGUUCAGUCCUCCUCUCCAACCUCUCCGUCUCUCUGCAUCCCCAUUUUCCAGAACUCUGCUGCUCUGCCGCGUUAGGAUUUCAGGUAAACCCUUUAUCCGCCAAUUUCCUCUCCUUGGCAGGCUUCCUUUUGUGGAAAAUUCUGAACCCUUCAUUGCUCAUUCCAUUUCGGCUCCCUCCCGCGCCUCUUAUGUCGCUGUUGUUUUUGUAUCCAUUUGUUGAUUGCUUUCAAGCGAUCAUCCUUAAUUUUGGCGUCCGGAUUCCCAUUUCCCAAUUUCUAGGGUUACGUGGAGGUAAAAGAGUGUUGGGGUUGAAGCAGAAUUAUUGUAUCUGUAUUUCAAAUUUAUGUUUGGCUUCAUCAACUAGCAUUCUCGUUUGGUCGACGUUUGAAAUUCCGUGUUUUUGGAGCGGUUGUUUGCUUCAAAUCUCUGCAUAUAUGAAUGACUCUCUUUGCUGGUAAGAUCAGAUACGGUGGAUUAUGGUUCCGGGCAUUCUUCAUUUAGGGUUGUCACUUACAGUUUCAGUAUUUGAAACAUAUUAUAGAAUUAGUAGUAUUUGCAGUAUGUAGUUGCCACAUUGUUUUGCUGUGAAUUGUUGCCAUGUGACUCUGUGAUAUCUAUUAUCUCUUGUUGCAUUCUGAAUUGCUUAAGACGAUUUGUUCUUUUUGGUUUCUCUUCUACUCUUUAUUUUGUGCUAGGGAUGGAUUUAUCGAUGACGAAGGAUUCCUUUAAUCAUAUCGGUAAGAAGCGGAAGUCCCUAGAAUUAAUUGAUCCAGUGAGCCUCGAAGUCGAGUUAAAGCUACAACAGAUUCAAUCAGUUCACAAUCUUAUUCUUCCUGACGAUCAGAAAGCCAUCCUCAGGCAGCUCAAACAUAGGCUUAACACAAUGAGACCACUCUCCCUAUUAGAGGCGCCGCAGAAGGAAUUGGGUAUGAGCCUUUCGAAGUACCCAAAGCUCUUAGAGAAGUCGUGGAAUCCCGACAUAUCCAAAGCUUACAGAAGUCUUGAGUUUGAUUUCCACAUAAUCAACCAGGUAAUAGCUGCCCAUUUUUACCAGAAGGGUUUGUUUGAUUUGGGUGAUUGUCUACUGAGUGAAGGUGGAGAACCAGAAACAACUUCCUUGAAGUCUCAAUUCAUGGAACUGCUCGAAUGUGUGAUGCCAUUAGGGUUAGAAACCUUGAGCCAGCCCUGACAUGGGUCUCAAACAACUUUGAGAAACUUCGGCAGUUUGGUUCCAAGCUUGAGUUGAAGCUGCAUAGCUCGCAGUUUAUGGAGAUGCUCAGGGAGGAACUCGGGCUGAUACUCUCUAUGCUCUCAACUAUGCAAAAACUCACCUUUCUCCUCUCGCAGGGGUUACAUGGAGUUCCAAAAGAUCACUGUUUCUUUGUUGUGGAGCGGGAAGCUGGAAAAAUACCCUUACUCCGAGUUCUCGUCUCCAACAUAUUAGGAUGAUUUGGCCGAUGAGUUUAGUCAGGAUUUCCACAAGGUUAUGGGACAGUGCUAUAAGGACCCUUUAUCUGCAGCUAUUGCAGCUGGUAUUGAAGGACUCCCUACUCUGUUGAAGCUGGCUAAUGCAAUGUCUGUGAAGAAUCAGGAAUGGAAAGCGUUGAAGCAGCUGCCAGUGCCGGUGGAACAAAGCAGAGAUUUCCAGUUUCAUUCGAUAUUCGUUUGUCCGGUGAGUAGGGAGGAAAGUAGUGAAGAGAAUCCACCUAUGAUGAUGCCAUGCCUGCAUGUUCUGUGCAAGAAGUCGAUAAUAAAGCUCUCAAAAAACAGCUUGAGGUCGUUUAAGUGCCCAUAUUGUCCAGCAGAGGCUACAGUUGCAUGAUGCAGGCAGUUGGUUUUUUAGUAAAGCUUCUUCCUCCUGGAAUGAGCCUUUGAUAAAAUAAUCUUCUUUUUUUAAGUUGUUUUUUUUCCUUUUGGUUUCCCCCUCUGGUUGAUGAUUGUAUAUAAACAUUCUUUCCUAAGUCUGUCUAUCCAUAUUAUGCAUCUAGCUAGUGUCUUUAUUAACGGCAGUCAGAUCAUUGCAGACACCAAGAUGAGCUAGGAAACAUCAUUACUUGUUCAAUUUUUACACAUUCAUAUUCUUACUAUCCAUGUUUGGAUGAGUUAUUUUGAAUAUGUGGUAUUUUAAAGUAAAAUAAUAUAUUAUUUGAGAAUGUUGUAUUUAAAAGAGGAACAAAUGGUUUAUGAUGUCGAAAUUUCACACUAUUUCAAAUAAUAUAGGGUAGGAAGGUAGCCUAAAAUGCACAGAUUUUGUUUUGAUUGUUAAACAAGUUGUUUUUGAGAAGUAAUAUCAUAGUCCGAAAUAUCAUCAAACUGGACUUUUAGUUCCUCGCAGUCGCAGAGAAUAGAAGAGCAUUAGCUCACUGAAUCAAUAAUGAACAGAAGCAUAUUACUCAAACUGCAAACUCAAAUGGACUAUUACAAAACAUGGUAGGAACUAGGAAGUAGGAAAAUGAAAUCCUUCUCCAUUUUGAUUAUCCCCCAUUUAACCAUUCCUAAAAUUAGAGACCAGAGAGUUAUCACAAAGCCAGUAUUAUUUCAUCUUAUUCUGUAGCAAAUCCCAUUAAUCUCCUCAAUCCAGGAAAGAAAGCAGAAGAAGAUAACUCAGAAGACGACCAUGACAGCUCCUUCUUCUUCUUCUUUUCCUGUAUAUGCUCUUCAAUCAAUUCCUCAACUGACCUAGAUGACAAUGGGUGAAAAUUGGCACCCCACUCAUCCACAAACCCUUUAACCAACGCCGUCUUCUCGUCUUGAUUCAUUUCGUCCCAUCUCAUUUCCACCUCGUCUUCCUCCAAAUCCAAGAACUUGCAAAGCUCGCAGAACAGCAUUUCCCUACUCUUCUUCAUGGCAUCUUCUCGCUGUGUAACAUUGGUGUUUAUCCUGGACACUUGCUUCGCGAAAUCUGUGGCCAGAUUUGAAUUUUCGGCUGCGCUCUUUUUCGUGCUUGCGCACAGGAUUCGGGUUCUUCUGGGUCUGCUGUUGUAGGGGAACUGGGUAGCCCUGGGAAUGGCGAAAGUUUGGAUCUUUACUGGUUGGAAGAGAGGGGUUGGAAGAGAUUGAUGGAUUCGAGAAGCCAUGUUUGAGAUUUUGGUUAUCGGGAAAGGAAAAAGGAUAUAUUUUAUUUUUGGAUGAGGGAAGACUAUGUCAAUUUGAUUGAUUGAAUCGGAUAAAAUCUAACGUACUCGUCAAAUCUAACCUGAGAACUCAAGUCCAAAUCACGCGUCUUCUUACUCAUUUGAACCAAGGAACAAAUAGGCACAAGGGCAAAGUUGUCACAUAAAAGUGAAGCAAUCCCGCGGCCUAGCUUUCCUCGCAACCAUCAACACGGCAUAAACCUCAAAGACCGACCCACAUAGACUAAACUACGAAACAAUUAGUUCAAACGACCGAAAAAUAAAAGUGAGGAAAAUUAUCCAAAUCCAGCAAAUCCACGUUUUGUAGGUGGAUAGUUUUCCACAUCCCAUAAAGGAGCCAAAUGAAACCAAAGAUUUGUAUUCAAUUUUGAAUUAGAGAAGUUAAAAAUAACGAAUUAACUGCGACUAAACCCCUAGUCUUUCAAGUUAAUGAUGCGGGUUCGAUUCCCGUUAUUCGCUAUAUAUUUACUUAAACUAAUUUAAGUAGCGUAUAAUAGUUUUUAAACGAAGUUAGGUAGUUCAUCAUUCGCAUGUAAUUAAAUAUACAAUUGAAUUCCUGAAGAUAUCUUAUUUAGAAGGUAUUUUUCAUAUUUUCUUUUUAUGACCACGAAAGAGAUCAUAAUAAAAUUGGAAACAUCUCUCGCAUAGAUAUAAAUAUCGAUAUAUAUCUAUAAUUCUUUUUUUUAUUUUUUUAUUCUAUUUUAUUGAAAUAGUUUUUUCAAAUAUUAUUGUUUAACUAUUCUAAUAAUGAGUAUUUUUUUUUAUUUAAUUAUUUAUUCCAAUAGAUUCCAAUUCUAAGAAAUUUUGUUCUUUAAAAAAAAAUGAAAUAAGGAUCCAUUUCCUUAUGCUUGUUCUUGAAGCAAAAAGCGUUCCGUCUGUUCCUGAAUAACUUCUUUCAAAAGGACUUUCAUUUCGUCGGUGAAUGUUUUGGUAGAAGAGAUUAUUUCGCGAAACUGAGGUUUAUUGUUUUUUAUGUACUUCCGUAAGUCCUCGAGAAAUUUCUUAUUCAAUUUUUAAUGAAUCAAAAUAACCAUUCGUUCCGAUAAAAAUAGUCAUUAUUUGUUCCUCGAUCGUGAGAGACGACGAUUGAGAUUGUUUAAGCAACUCACGUAAUCGUCGACCUCUUGCCAAUUGAUUAUGCGUACUUUUAUCGACAUCUAAGGCAAAUAUCACAAAGACUUUUAAUUCUACGCAUUGUGCCAAUUCAAACUUUAAUUUACCAGCUACUUAUUUCAUAGCUUUAAUUUGAGCUGCGGAUCUAACUCGAGAAACUAAAAUACCCACAUUAAUAGCAGACCGUGUUUCAAUAUUGAAUAAAUCGGCGGAUAAAAUUUUUUUUCCAUUUGUAAUAGAAAUUACAUUAUAAGGAGUAUAAGCUGAAAAGUCUUAUGAUUGUGUCUCGACUAUUGGUAAAGCAAGCAUGCUUCCUUCACCUAAGCGAGAACUUAAUUUAGCAGUUCUUUCCAAAAGGCGCGAAUGCAAAUAAAAAAUAUCUCCUGGAUAAGCUUCCCGGCCGGGUGGUCGUCGUAAUAAAAGAGACAUUUGACGAUAAGCCUGCGCUUGUUUAGAGAGAUUAUCAUAAAUGAUUAAAGUGUGUCGUUCACUGUACCUAAAAUAUUUGGACAGAGCCGCUCAUGUAUAAGGAAUCAUAUAUUGUAAUUUAGCCGAAAAAUCCGCCAUUUCAGCUACUAUAAUAGUGUACUCCAUUUCCCCUCUUUUUUGUAAAGCAACAAAUACCUGAGCCACGGAAGAUGCUUUUGACCAAUAGCUACAUAAGCACAAAUUACAUUUUGUCCUUGUUGGUUUAGAAUUGUAUCCGUGGCUAUGACUGUGUUUACCGGGUCUGUCUAUUCCCAAUAAUUAAUUCUCGUUAAUAGCGCCUUAUAGGAUCAUCGAAUCAAUAGCAAUAAAGCAUGUUUGGAGAGGCUCAUAUAUCGAACGUCUCAAAAUAAUCGGGCCUGGGAGAUUCAAUUAAGCGAGAAUCAGAAGCGGGAAUUUUACCUCGACCAUCAAUAGGUUUAGCUAGAGCAUUUAUAACACGACCCAAAAAAGCCUCACUCGCGGGUAUCUGAGCAAUUUUUCCUGUUGCUUUUGCAGAGUUUCCCUCUUGUAUCAUUAAACCAUCAUCCAUUAAUACAACACCAACAUUCUUUGCUUCUAGAUUCAAGGCAAUACUGAUUGUACCCUCUUCAAAUUCUACUAAUUCACCUGACAUAACGUCAUAAAAACAAAAAAUACGAGCAAUGCCAUCACUUAUUUGAAGUAAGCUACCGAUAUUGACUACCUUUAUUUUGCUUUUAUAUUCUUGAAUAUGUUUACAGAUAAUAUUAUUAAUCUCACCAGUUUGAAUAGUUACCACACGUAUUUUUUAAAUUUUUUGAAAAUAAUCCCCCUAGUAAAAGAAACAUCAAAGGAAGGUCCUAAUCCUUUCUUUCUUUCAUCACUCUGAACUAUUCAACAGUCAUUAGUCAAAAAACUAUUGUGUUUCUAAAGCUCCUUGUAAGGCCCGUUGGCGGACUUGAGUAAUCGUUGUUUGUUGUUCAAAAUGAAUGGUUUCAUUUUUGUAAUUUUCUAAUUGGUCCAAAGUCUUAGAAGUUGAAUGAAUCAAAUUCACCUUUUCUUGUUCUAUCUCCGAGUUACCUUUUCUUAUUCUAUCUCCGAGUAUCCCUUUGAUUGAUACUGAUCCGCCUUCAUUUCUAAUUUUCGUAAGCACACCUGGGUUUUUUUGAGCUGCUCAAUUACCCCCUGCAAUUCUUCCGAAAUACUAAUAGUAAUCAAAAUUCUUUGUUUACGAAUUUCUAAUAAAUCACUUAAUGAAAAUAGAUUAUAUUGCCAUUCAUUACAAAAUUUUCAUAACCCCUUCCCAAACCAAACAUGAAUCUUUCGAUUCAUUUGGCUCUCACGCUCAAUUUUUUCAAUUUCUUAUGAGAAAUUCCCACAUUUUUUUGACUGGAAUGAGCCUAUCCUCUUUUCUCAUAUUUUUUUGACUGGAAUGAGGUUAUUCUCUUUUCCCUAGUUCGAAUUAAUAGUAAAAAAUCUAGUAAUAGUAAUAAAACAUAAUAGAAACUAACUAGAUCAAAAAAAUAUUGAACCAACUCACUAAUGGAAAACCAAAAUAUUUAGAGAAUUCUUCUAAUCAAACAAAUGAUUGUCAGUAAAGUUGUGUUUUUUCUUGACGGAAUUCGUGAAAAAAAAGAGAACAAAAUAACAUUUUUUUUCUUCUAGGAUUAAACAAAAGAAUUCGUAAAUAAAAGGGCUAAUGCUACAACCAGCCCAUAAAUUGUUAAAACUUCCAUAAAGGCCAAACUAAGCAAUAAAAUACCCUGUAUUUUCCCCUCCGCCUUGGGUUGUCGUGAUACCUUCUACAGCUUGUCCUGCAGCAGUGCCUUGACCGACCCUCGAUCCAAUAGAAACAAGCCCAACAGCCAAUCCAGCAGCAAUAAUGGAAGCAGCAAAAAUGAAUGGAUUUAUGAUAAGUUCCUCGUACAAAAAAAAUAUAGUUGAUGAUACUUCGAUAAAUUAUGACUUAAUUAUUUCAUUAAUUUUUUUUUCACCCAGCCGAAGUAAGCAAGAACUCCUAAUUGAAGUGAUAACAUUAUUGAAUCAUCAAAAUUAUUUCGAUAUCUAUUUUUUUAAUUCAUAUAAUGGGGGUUUUAUGAAUUUAUACACUUUUUUUGUUCCAAACCUUUUUUGAAUUCGAACUCUUUGCCUUUUUAGUGAUUGAAUCCUUUUUAGUUAAUAUGAAUAUUUAAUUCACAGUUAAAAACGAAAAAGGGCUAUUAGUGAAAUCCUUAUCUAAAAAUUCAAUAAGCAUAUAUAUAGUAUACUGGAUUCAAUAUAUCUUUUAGUUCAUAGAAAACUAAUUAAUACCUAAUAUUCCAUAUACAUGCCUUUCGUGCCGAAUCUAAAUCAACUAUUCCUAUCUUAGAUUCCACCAGGUUCGAAAAUGAUUUCUCUAAACAUGCACAAAACACAAAACAAAGCAUUGAAUAAACUCAAUUGAAAUGACCCCUUUUAUAAAAUUUGGAAUCAUACCACUUCAAGAAAUAAAAAAAUUUUAUUCAAAUUCUGACUUCUAAAAUUGUUAUUAAAUGAAAUGAAAAGAAAGGGGUUACAAAAUUAGUGAAACAAAUCUUAAAAGAAAAGAUCUUUUCGAUCUCUUUUAUUUUUGCAACGCAUAUUGGAAUCCCUUUGACUGUAACCGGUUCUUCAUCCUUACCGAUAAUCCUUUUUAAAGAAAAAAGAAAAUACUCCGCGGUUGAUCUAGUUGUGUAGCUAUUAAGUUUUUGUUUCCCCUGAUGCGCUAGGGAGUUCAACACAUGGUGGAUCCAAAUCAACAAUGCAACCGAAGCUUCUCCAGAAGCAGCUCCCGUAUCUGCUCUUCGUCUCCCUCAUCCUCCUGUAUCUUUAUUCUUUCGCUCUCCGCCCUUACUCCUCCAAAUCCAAUUCCCUAAUUUCAUCAUCUGUGCCGUCCUGCAAUCUCUUCAAUGGAAGCUGGGUUCUACGCCCCACCAGUCCCAGACCUCUCUACGACGACUCCUGCCCAUUUCACAGAAACGCUUGGAACUGCAUUAGGAACCAGAGAGACAACAUGGAUCUCAUAAAUUCUUGGAAAUGGGUGCCGCAAGAUUGUGAAUUGCCUCGAAUCGACCCGGAGAGAUUUCUAGGUUUCAUGAGGAAUAAGAAGAUUGGGUUUAUCGGGGAUUCUUUGAAUGAGAACUUUCUGGUGUCAUUUUUAUGCACUCUACGAGAAGCUGACAACGGUGCCAGGAAGUGGAAGAAGAAGGGAGCUUGGAGAGGGGCUUAUUUCCCCAAGUUCAAUGUUGUUGUUGCUUAUCACCGUUCAGUGCUGCUUGCUAAAUAUAAGUGAGUUCCAUUCCACUCUUUUUUUCGUCUAAUCGUACUUGAUUAUGAGUUCUGGAACCAUUUGCAGUUGAGUUGUCUCAUUUGGUGUUAUAUGUCAAAAGCUUACUAUUAUUGUAUAAAGGAUCGCGUUUUAUUAUUACCUUCAUGCUGAUUUUCUUAAGCUCAACUGUCUACUUAAUGCAUUUGUGAUCUUUUAACCUAUGCAAUCUGGUUUGGCCAUUGGUGUUGUUUCUUAAUACAUUUGUGAUAUAACCCUGGUGAAACUGAUUGAUGUCGCCCUAGUAGUAAUGGAGUGUGAGAAAUAUUUAACCCUGGUAGUAAUGGAAGAUGUAAAAAUCCGUGGAAAAUUGUUUUAGAAGUUUAGGCAGUAAAUUCUGUAAAUAUUGGGUUGCAGAGCAUUCCCCAAUUAAAUCAAAGGGUAUCACUUAUAAUUGAGGAGGGAAAGGAAGUGAUUGGCUCAAUCGACCAAAAAAUUUAAAAACUUAGUUUGCAUGUGAUUGAUAAACUCCAAGAAGGCCGACUGUGGUGGUUACUUCUCAUUUUCCAGGGGACUGGCUGAAAGUAGCUGUUUAUGAUUUGUUGUUGGAGGAGGAAAUUCUUUGUUUCGUGAAAGUCUGAAGUUAGAAGCAUAGUGGAAGGACUAGUUCUGUCUUCUUUAUGUUCACCCAAUUUGUAAAGUUUUUGGGUUCUCUUCAGAGUUCGUGUUUAAUACUAGUUGGUAGGAUCUUGAUCCAAUUUAGUUAGUUUGCAGGUUCUGAAAUGGCUUCAGUAUUGUUAGUGCUGUUAUACAUUGGGGAAUCUUCUAUAACUUCCCCAGAAAGCAAGACAUUCACUUACUGUGCUUCCCAUGUUUCACUUGUAAACUUUGAUGUCCUCACUUGUUCAGAACUGAUUCAUUUAAGGUGGCAGCCAGAGAGAUAUGAAAUUGACCAAUGAAGGAGUGAAGGGGACACAUCGAAUAGAUGUUGAUGUACCUGGAGAUGAGUGGGUCAACACUACUGCCUUUUAUGAUGUCCUGAUUUUCAACACAGGCCAUUGGUAAUUUCCUUGUCCUUGAUGCAAAUUUAAGACAAGUUAGUGCCUGGUUCGUAUUAUAAUGUUUUACUCCCACCGUUUUCCCUUUCGUGUUUUUGUAUGUCCUUGAUCCCUUGUGAUCAUUCUUGUGAUAAAAAAUACUUAGUCUCCUUGGGACUUUUUGUAGGUGGAGUUAUGCUAAAUUUCCACAAGAGGCACCUUUGGUGUUUUACCGUAAAGGGAAGCCGAUAUAUCCCCCUCUUGGGUUGUUUGAUGGAUUGAAAAUAGUUCUUGAGAACAUGGUGGCAUAUAUUGAAAAACAAGUUCCAAAGAAGACAGUCAAGUUUUGGCGACUACAAUCACCACGACAUUUUUAUGGCGGUGAAUGGAAUCAGAAUGGAAGCUGCUUGUUCAAGGAGCCCCUCAAGGAAAAUGAGGUACACUGUACGAUAUGACGGAAUCUUAAUUCCAUAUCCCAUUGCAUUGGUUAGCCUUUUCGUUGAAAAUGAUAGCAGUGUUGAUUCUUGUUCUAUGUUGUGAUGCUAUUUCCAGCUUGACCUCUGGUUUGAUCCCAGAAACAAUGGAGUGAACAAGGAAGCAAGACAAAUCAACCGGUUUAUCGAGGACACAUUACAAGGAUCAGAUAUCAAGUUGCUGGAUUUGACACAUCUCAGCGAGUUCAGAGCUGAUGCCCACCCUGCAAUUUGGUUAGGGAAGAAAGGUGCUGUGGAGAUCUGGGGUCAAGACUGCAUGCAUUGGUGCCUGCCUGGUGUCCCAGACACUUGGGUUGAUAUAUUAUCGAAGCUGAUAUAUGAUAAGCUGGAAGCAGCAGAAGUACGAUGAAGUGACUGGAAACUGAGCCACAAUGCCGCACUGUUGCUGAAAUAGCUGAGGAAAACAGAUCCAUGUUUUGGUCUAGGAUCUAGAGAGAGCUCAUUGUUGGAAUGAAGGUAGUGAAUUUGUUGAUUCGGGUUCACUUUCCCUUUGUUAUCUUCAGAGUAGAAAUGGUAGGUGGAUGAACUGAACUAUUUUUCUGAAAGUUCCUAGGAUUUGGCACUAAGCAAAGAUGUUCAAUUUAACAUGGUUUUUAUUUGCUGCACACGUUUAACUGUUAGGUUGUAUAAUAGGCUGUGUUUAUUUUGUCUAUCAAGAAACAAGUGGAAGAAGGUAGACUUAUGUAGCGUAUAUAAGGUACUGAUGAACUCUUUAUCAAUUUCUGGCAAAUUCAAUGUCCUUGAAUACUUUCAAAUUUCAAUAGUUGAUCUGUUAGUCAAGUCUGCAGGGUAGUUGCUACCUGGUAGAUGAGUUGGAUAAGAACGACUGCGCAGAGAUUGCUGGUGAUAUUUGCAGUUGGUGGAGAUUGAUAUUCGACAGGGUCAUUCAUUCAUCUAAAACCCUCAACAGAAGACAAGCCAUAGCAUUUCCACUGUCAUAAACGUGGGUUCAGUCACCUCACCCAUUUCUGGCAUCAAUUAUUUCAUUAUUUGUCAGUCUUCCAUGUGAAUGACCUUUCAUUUCUCAUCUGUUUUGAAUCAUACGUCAUGGUUAGUGCAGAUAACUGUUGUGACCUUUUAACCAUGACUACUUUUUUUAGUACCUUCAUUUUGUUCGUAGAUGCAAGUGGUAGAUAAAAUGGACAGUAAGUGCAUAAACUAAAGAGAGACAGUAAUUUCCCAGGCAAUGAAUUUAUAUGAUUCUUUCUGAUUCAUGUAUUAAGUAGUGGAGAAACUUUUUACAGUUGAUUCAUGUACAAGUAUGACUAUGAUACUAUCACAGGUUGUAGUUAUUGAGAAUGGAUGCUCUUGUUCUAAUCAAACGCCUAAACAGGGAUUCAACACCAACUUCAAGAUCUUGAAUACACAGCUGCAGGUUCUUGAGAUGAACCGGAACCUCCUCGUUUGAUUUGUUCGACUUCAAAGAGGCAUCCACCUCUGCAAAUUCAUUUGGAUUUGCUUCAUCUUGACUUGUUACCCUUCUCUGGACAGCCACAAGCUUAGAAACUAAUGAUCGGGUCUUGCUUGAUUUGGAGUUCGAUUGUGAGAUGAACGACAACAAGCACUCCAACACCGCAACAACAACGGAUUCAGCCUCUCUUAACAUGGUAAUCGCCUCAAUGUUGUUGUCGGCUGAAGAAACCGAUUUCUUGCUCUCCAUACCCUUCAACACAUUCUGAAUUGUUUUCUUGAUAGUCUUUCUAGAGUUGAGGUACCUCAUGGUCGCUUCUCCUUCCAACCCCCCUUGUUGCCUUCUUCGGAUAACGGAUUGAAGUUCUGCGACAGAGUCCUUCAUCUGUGACAAAGCAUCCUUGGCAGUGUUACACAAAUCCAAGAGACUAAGAGAUCCAUCUAACAGCUCAUUGAAGCACUUCUGCAAUGCUUGUUGUGUAAGUGGAAGUUUUAGUAAGCUGUCAACACAAUCAUACAGAACCUCGAGUUGAUUCAGGUUCUGGCCUAUGGAAGAUGAUGUGGAUGCAGAAGCUUGAGAUUGUCUCAAGUUGCAAACUUGGUCAUCAAUUUCUGAAACUAGAGGGUGUGAAAUGACAGGUACACUGUUGGAUCGAGCAUGGGAAGGUACUGCCGUCAUUUUUGUUGGUUAGAGGAUGUGGGGAAGAGCUUUUUGAAGUUCUGAGAGAGAGAUGAAUGGGAAAUCUGCUGUGCCCUUCCAUGGCGUCUAUAACAGGUUUAUAUAGGUGGUAAGGUGAAUGCAGAAAGAGGAAUCAAAGCAUAUUUAAUAUAGUUUCGCCAUGUGCAUGUGUGGUUCAUGGUUAUGAUGGUUUGAGAUCAGGAGACAAACGAAUCAUAACAGUGGGUCUAUGCAAUGUCCCCUGCCAUACAAAUGCUCCAACUCAUUGCCUUUAAUAUUCUUCCAUGGAUUGGACAUUUGAUGAAUUAAAUACAGUUCUGGAACAGUGAUGAUUCAUGAAUGGAGGGGAAGGUACAUAUCUUUGUACUUACUCAUUUUAAAUGUUGAGUGUCGUGUUUGUAUGUCUCAGGUCUCCCUCUGCUGUUGUCCGAUUAUUAUAAUUAGGAUCCUGAUGAUUAGAUUAGAUUGGGGUUCCUUUGCAGUCGCGGGGGUUAAUUGGUUUAAUUAUGACUGAAAUUUGUGGGAGCUGUUAGGUUUAGAGGUAUAUUAAUUAAUUAAUCAAUGUUGUAUACAUCAGUUCAUUCAGUUGUGUGGUGCCUGCCUAGCUCCCAGCUCCAGACCUCACCAGAUAAUUUUACAAUCGGAAGCAGCAUAAAUCCCUCAUCUUCCUUGUAUGAUAAUGCAUGCUAGCAGUUAGCAAUUGACGGGCACCGGGUCUCUCAGUAUCCGUUUAAAGCGGUUAACAGCCGGGAUGGAUUUUAAUACUAUCCACCCGAUGGGUAGCCGCUGUAUAUAUUAUGUAAUUUAAUUACAUAUAUAUCAACCAACGCGUUUUUCAAAGCCUAUUCAAAAUAUUUUGAUUAUAUGGUUCAUUAUUUAUGUUUGAUUUAUUUUAUAGUUAAUUUGUUAUUGAAUAUGACCUUUUUUUAUACCUUUAUGAGCUAUUAUAUUCAGAUCAUUCUACAAUCUAAAAAUCGAAAAAUACUUUAUUGACUCUCUUGAAUUAGUAAUUAUUUCAAGAGUCGAGGAUUACCCUACUAAACGGGUAAACCCGAAACCCGCAAACUAAUAGAUAUAAUUUAAAAAAUUAUACUCGCUUGUGGAAACGGGUAGGUAUACGAGUAAAACCCAAUAACUAAAAAAGCGAAUAAUAUAUAUACCAAAUCCGUCCCAAUACCUACUUAUUGUCAUCCUUAAGAUAACUAUUAUUACCGCCGUAUUAAUCUACAGUUUUGAAUCAAUAAUGUGGGGAUUCAAAACCUUUGGGUUCCAAAAGAAUUGACGUAUUGCCACCAAAAUUGGUGCCCUAUAAAGAAUCCCAACUACCAAAAGUCCAAAACCAAAAGAAACCCAUUACUUUAUUAUUUUCAAAGCUAAUGUUUGAGCUUGUCUUUCUGGUCAGUCCUCGUCGUGAAUUAGUUUACGUUCUUUUAGGGCAAACAAAACAAAAUUAAAUUAGCAUUGCAAAAGUAUCGUCACGACUCCAUCAUCUACAAUUUUCCACACACGUCCAAAUCGUACCAGGUCUCAAAUUAAAUUAAUUACUAUGGAACUCACUCCCCCAUCCACGUUCGGUAUCAGGUUGGUACUUUGCCCAUUGCAACUUAACAAGUAAACUCUUCGGUUUGUCUUUCGUUAAAAUGUGUCAGAUCAACAUGUCACGCCAGCUUCGGUUGGUACAUUUCCAUCCAAUCCAUUCUCCACGUACACUUCUUCAUUCCAUUCAUACACAGAAAAUUAUAUACUAAUUAGUCACCUUGUGGACAAAAACCCAUUGUGGAACAAGACUGAAUAGAAGAAACCCUAGGUAACGUUAAUCAUUCCCCGUGAUGGAUGCCGGAUGAUUACCAUUUCUACCCCUAUAAAAUAACCCUUAUCAAAACCCUCAAUUCCAUUCCUAACAUAUCUUUAUUUUCAUUUCCUUCCCAAAAAAACAUGGCACCCUCAGUACCCCUUUUCAUUGCAAUUGUAUGUUUUGCAACACUAGCAUUCCCCUCAUCCGCACAAGACUCACAACAAGACUACCUCGACGGCCACAACCAGGCCCGCUCCGUGGUUGGAGUGGACCCCGUAACAUGGAAUGAGACUCUGUCGUCCUACGCACAGAACUACGCACAGAGCUACGCAAGCCAAAGGCCGGCAGGAGCCUGCAGCCUCGCCCACUCCGGUGGUCCCUACGGGGAGAACAUAGCCGGGAGCAAUGGAGAGCUGUCCGGGAAGGAUUCGGUGGCGAUGUGGGUGAAUGAGAAGGCAUAUUACGACUACGACACCAACACGUGCGCCCAAGACGAGCAAUGCGGCCAUUACACACAGGUCGUAUGGAAGACCACCACCAGCAUUGGAUGCGCUAAGGCCGCUUGCAGCGGCGGCGACCAGGGUACUUUCGUCAUUUGCAGCUAUUCUCCUCCUGGUAAUUACCUUGGCCAGAAACCUUACUAGUGACCAGCGGGUGUACUAGCCAGAUAGCUAAUUAAAUAAAGGGGUUAGUGCAUUAUAUUUGGAUGGUUCUGCCUUUUAUUCUUCACGUAUUGUAUCAGUUUGUGAAGAGCUAUAUAAUAUAAUAUAUGCUGCCUAAUAGUGUUGCAUUAUAUCUAAUUACCAAUAGUUUGCAUGUAAUAUGCUUUCAACAGAUUCUAAUAAGAUCUUCACGUUUUUCUUUAUAUUAUCUUACUUGAGGGGAAAAAAGCAAUACGCUUUCAAUAUACCUUUUCCAAUUCUACCCAAAAAUAAAUAAAAUAAUAACUUCGUUUUUGAUGAAAUAAAAUGAGAUUUACCGAAAACUUAGAUUCAAGAACUACCCUUAUUAAUUGAUUCAAGAACAAAUCCUGUCCGGCUCAUUCAAUACACAAACUUGAUCAAAUGGGCAGACAUAACAUUGUAGUAAAAGCGUAAACAAAAUAUAUCCUAAGUUCGUGCACACUCUCGGGAACCGACUUGCACAGAGUUUGUUACUUUUGAACUAGGGCCAAGGUAGUCUAUUAUCACAAUAAAAAUAAAGAAGAUGGUUAAAAUUGUAAUUCUACGUGGAAGCAGAUGCGUGAUAGAGAUGCACCCAAACGUGCUCUGAUAUCACUUUGAGGAUCGGAAUCGAUAACUAAAGCAAAUUGAUAGGAAUAAGAAUCACAAACGAACUAUUUGCAACCCUAAUCACCGCUUGCAUGUAAGUAAAUUGGCACAGGAACUGUUCAUGCAGUUCGUAAAAUCCAUACUCUGCGGAGCCUCAGUGGGGGAGACUCAGCCCGAAUCCACUAUCACAAAUCACUGAGAAGAGUACCAAAAGAACAGAGAGAACCCCCAGUACAAUUCGAAGAGCAUAACAAUGCAAUCAAUCAAUACAUAAGGAACACAAUCGAUAAACACUAGAGAGAAAUAAUAUUCCCUGAUCGGAGCAGCGAUAGAAGCUCCGAUUUAUAAUCCACCUCCCGCCAGUGAAGAAUCCUAGCAAGUUUGAGAGAUUUUCAGAUCCAGUUGAGAGAGAGAGAGAGAGGAAGGUGAACAGUUGAGAGAGGUAUCAACUUCUGAAGUCCACGCCAACACUUUCUUAGUAUUUAUACUAGACUUCCCAGAGUCCAAACAAACCGUUUCAAUUAAGUAUAGAUGUUGUGUUGACCAUCAUAACCUAUUUAACCCAAUCAAUUCAAAUUUAAUCCAGACUCGGAUUUGAAAUAAAGAUAAAAAACUCAACACUUGGAGCUAAUUUAACAAUAACAACCGAAACCGCAGAAAACAUGGUUACCAAAAGAAAAUCAUUACUUCUAAUUUUGUAUUUGCAAUGUCGUCCACAAUUACUUUUGUGGAUUUUUCAAAGUAACUUUAGCAGCCGCUCCGUGGAAGGAGUGGAAAAUUCAAAGUUAAUGUUUGAACUUGUCUUUUGGUUAGUCCUUCUUGUGAAUUAGUUACGUUCAAAUAAAGCAAAAUUAAUCACCAUUAAUCAACAAAAUGGUACUUAACCAUUCUACUACAUCAAAGUCAAUACAUAGCAUUCAAUUCUAUCUAUUCCACCUCCCCAAGCCAACUUAACCAGUAAACUCUUCCGUUUUCUCUAUAAUGAAAAGAAAUCUCACUAUUUUAAUAUAUUUUUAUUUUGGUAAGACAUCUAAAUUUGUUUUUUUAGUGAAGAAAUUUUUUCCAUAGUUAUAUAACACUAGAAAUAUCAUAUACGAUAAUGCUACAAGACUUAUUUGAAUUGAAACAUUUGUUUGUUCUAAAUUAAUUUGUAAAUACAACAUACGUUUGUUUGAAAAAAAAUACAUAUAUAAAAUCAAAUGACAAUUACAGAAUUUAGUAAAAUAGAAAACCAUCAAAAUUUAAGAGACAAUAUCCCGCACAUUAUCCCGAACAUGUACGAAUCCAAGAACACGUAUAUUACAUAUAGCUUAUAAUAAUAAUGGUUUUAUGAAACUAAACCCUUUUAUUGCACAAUAGUAACUCUCCCAUUGUUCUUUUUUAUAUAGAACAUUGAUAGUGCUAGGAUUUGUAGUAAUUAUCUACUUUUAUUUGCACGUUUUUUGAGUGAAUACUAGUUUGUUCGUGCUUCAUUUCUGUGUGGUUUCAUGUUUUGGCAUUAUGUGCCUAGACCCGUUCACUUGGACCGUUAUGGUCGAUUUGAUGUGUUUCUUUGUAUUAUUUUUUAUCCACAUGUACUCUAGAGAUGGAGAGUUUGAUUACGAGUCUCUGGAUAUGGAAUAGAGAGCACGAUUGGAGCUCGAACGGAAGAUCGGACGAAGAAAUGAUGAAGAAAAGGGAUUGCACGUCGUGCAGUCCUGAAAACCAAAAUAGGCUCGUGGCCAAAAUCGGGGAACGACAUACACCCAUGCACACCAUUCCUUCAUUUGUGAUACAUGAGAUUUUGAAGAUAAGGGGUACACGCGUGCACCCCCAGAUCUGCAGUUUUUCAUAUAAUAACCUGAUUUCGAGAAAAGAGAAUCAGACUUCCCCAAAUCGAAUUUCUUCGACUUUUUCACAACUUCUCCUCUGCAAAAACACCAUUCUCCAUCCCUAGAAGUCCAAUUGAAGAUCAAAAGGAGUCCCCAUCAAAGAUUAAAGUUAGGAUUGAAGAUAGAAGAUUAAAAGCGAUGACUGGAGUAAGAUCGAUUCAUCGUCUCCUCAUCAAGAUGAUGGUUAUGUCGAAUUCAGAUUUGUCUUCUCCUAGAAUCAUGAGUAGUUAGUUAUUUAGAGUUUCUUGGAUGAGAUGUAGGAUUUUAGUUAUGAUACUCUCCCUAAAAGUAUAGUGUUGACGAUUGUUGGAUAAUUGGUUUCAAAUGAAUGAUUGCUUUGAUUGUUGGGUUUUCAACCUAGUUCUUGUUACGACUUGAAUUAGGUCAAAUCUAUGAAAUCCUUUAUUUGAUAGAUUCUGGAAUUCAUUUGAUUAACAAUCUAAGAUAGAUGAAAGCGUUGUAGUCGUAAUCGGCCUUCUCCUCCGCCCACAGCUCCACCGCCCUCGUCCCGAACAGAUCUUCGCUGCACCACGCAAGGUUCUCUCCGUAGGGGCCGUCCGAAUGCUCCAGCUGGCAUCCACCCUCGGCCAGCUUCGUGGCGUAUCUGUUGGCGUACGCCGCUAGAAUGGGGCUCCAUACCAAGGGCCCCACCCUAUUUUCGGCCCGCACUUUGUUGUGGGCUGCGAGGAAGUCCUCGGGGGCGUCGUGGCCGAGUGUUGGGAUGAAGACCGAGAGAAUUAAGAGGAGGAGGAGGAGGGGAAUUGUGUUUUCAUUUUUAUACAUUUUUUUUUGUUUUUUUUUAAUUUCAGGAAAGUCUUCUGUAAUGAUGACUUCCCUGAGAAAAGUUUUGUGGAAGAAUUGAGAUUUCUGUUCUUGGGUAUAUAUAGCUAGUGACACGAUGAUGUGUUGAUAAAUAUGGGAUUGCUGUUGUCUGUGUUGAUCAUAAGGAUCACAAAUCCCCUAAGAAAUAUCUACCAAAGAGUAAAAAAUAAUAAAUCCUAAAAAAUACAUGUUUCUUUGAUUUGUGAUAUCUCAUUCACACUUUGUUACCAUUUCUGUAAUCUACCAGAAAUUGUGAGAGAGGUCCUGACGAUUGAUCGAAGAUUGGGGGUGAGAAUAUAGGUGUUUUUAUAUGAAAAUAAAAAUGUGUAAGAGAAGCUGAUUUUGAGUUCAUAAUUUUGAGUGCCAUAUUUGGAUGGAUUUUAUUAUUUGAAUGAGGGAGUGAAGACUGAAGACUGAUGUCGAGGAAAUUAAAGAAUCUGAAUUUCCUUAUUGGUACCAUUCUAAUAGAUCUUACCAUCAUUUGAUUUAUCUACAACAUUAAUUUUGAUUUAACGGGUAAAAAAGUAAUCUUUUGUUCUUCGAUAUUCAAAUAUUCUUUGAGAGGAUCCGAAAGAAAGAUCACUCACCCGACUGACCGUUCUAAAAUACCUCCUACUCAGGGAAACCAGCCCCCGUACCCGCCUUAACUUUAGGAGAUUAAGCAGGUAAAGUGAACCCGUAACUUUUUUACUUAGUAAAUAUCUUUUACAUACGAUAACAUCUCGGAUUUGAAGAAAUGAUUUCACGUCAAAAUCUUAGUUUUUCAAGUCGAUCAGCACAGCUGUGGUAGGAUUUCGACGAAUUUUUUUUGAAAGUCAAAUAUGUGAGUUGACUGCUUCAAAUUCGUACAAAUGUGUAUACAUUUUGUACAAACUCAUACGAACACCCAUAUAUAUACACACCCAUACAGACUGUCAUACAAAUACGCAUACACUAUGUACAAACUGGUACAAAUGUGUAUACACUUUGUACCACUGAUACAAACACCCAUACACACGCUCAUACUAAUGCAUGUACAAAUACUCAUACGAAGUGUACAAACCUCAUACAAGUUGUACGAACAAUGGUCGGAAUUUUAUUCUAGAACAAUAAAAAAAUUCCAGAACCGUAAAGCCGAUUACGGUGAUCACGUGGGUGAAAAAGAAUCCUCAACGGAGGUUGACACUGCCGGAAAAUUGAUCGAAAUUUUUUUUUGUGACCGGAGACAGUGGUCCAAUCGCCGGAAACGAUGGUUAGUGAUCUAAGCUAAUGGUCAGUAACAUAGAUGAUUGAGUUAUGUUUCAACAAAAUUAUGUAAAUACCACAUAAUCAUACUGUCCAUAAAUAAUUUACGACUUUAAAUCAUAUAUGGAUUUAAGGGACAAUCAAUAGUCCAUAUCUAUCUUAUUUAUAAAAAAGAAAUAGUCCAGAUCUAGCAUAGAAUGGUGCCGAUAAAAUGUGCUUAUUGCACCAGAAAACGGGAAUGAAAUUUUCGAGAAUAGUGUGUGUGCACGAACCUAUAAUCUCACAUUUUUACGCUUUUGCCACCAUGUUAUUUCUGGCCACCCGAUCAAGUUUGUGUAUUGGAUGGAUAAGAUUAGUUAUUAAAUCAAUCGAGAGGAGUAGUUCAUCGGUUCUUGAACCUAGUUUGGUUACCAUUACUCACUAAAAUACAAGGAAAAUAGUAUUAGGCAUACUGCCACACAUUAUUACGUGAAGAAUAAAAAGCAGAACCCAUGCACAUAUGCAUUAAGCAUGUGUUGUGGGAGUCGAGGUAGUCUUGUGGAGAGUCUUGUGCGGAUGAAGGGAAUGCUAGUGUUCCAAGUACUAAUGCGAUUGCUAUGACAAGGGGUACUGAGGGUGCCAUUGUGGUUUUGGGUAGUUUUUCUGAGAAGGAAAAGAUGAAUGAAUGUGGUGAGGAAUGGAAGACGGUUUAGGAUGGAUAGGGUUUUUCUAGAGGGGGUAGUAAACAGUACCCACUAGCCACUAGGGUUUGUUCUAUUCAUUUUUUCCACAAAGGGCUUUUUCCCACAAGGGGGAAAUGACGAGUGUGGAAAAUUCGUUUGAUGGAACGUUCAAUAAUGUUGAUGUUGCACCCUGGAGUCGUCACGAUACUUGUGUAAUACAUAAUACGAUUUUUUGCGUCUUGUAGACGUCAUUAAUUCACAAGAAGUUGAUAGAAAUUCGAAUGGAUUCUAUCCAAUUUAGUAUUUCGUCUGAACUCCGAUUGGUGUAAGGUCAGAGGCGUUGGAGAGAUAAUUCCAUUUUAUUUAUAUUAUCGGUCAUCAAAUUUGAAGAAUUCAAGGAGAUAUGCUCAAUUAAAGUGAACGGAUUGAAUACUAAAAUAUGUCUAUUUAAUAUUUCAUCUUUCUAGUUAAUUUAUGUUUUAAAUUUUAAUACCACAUUAUUUAGUUUAGAAGUUGUUAUUUGGGGGUUAAGUUUUGAAAGCCUAUAUAAAGAUUAGUUAUUUUGAAAAUGAAUGAACAACUUUCUUAUGAGGGAAACCCUAUCUUUUCUUGUCUUUGGUAUGCCUGCUAAUGUGGCGUUGAGCUUUUUUGUUUUUAGGACCGAUAAAUUGUAAUAUAGGUCGUGCUUAACUCUUCUAAUUAAUCUAUUUGAAUUUGGAUUAAAAACAAUAAUGAAAUAUAAUCAACUUGUAUUGUAGUAUAGUUGAUGACGAUAUUGACGACGAUAUGAAAAGACAAACUUAUACACCAUACGUGAAAAAUAAAGAAGCAGAAUGAUCCAUGCAUUACGGACUUUAUUUAAUUAGGCGCAUGGUGCCCGCCAUAAUAUUGUAGCUUCGUCUGUGGCUAAAACACCAACCACAUUCUAGUACACCAUCGUCAUUAGUAAGGUUUCUCGCCAACGUAAUUACCAGGAGGAUUGUAGCUGCAAAUGACGAAACUACUCUGGCCAUCGCCGCAUCCAGCCUUGGCACAUCCAAUACUCGUGCUCCUCCGCCAGACAACCUGCGUGUAAUGGCCGCAAACCUUGCCUU
rnacentral:lncRNA from 1 species